UACUGAACACUGUGACUUUCAGUCCAAAAGCCUUCCCAAACUUAACUGCCAAAUGACCGAGCCCGCCAAGUCCAAUUACACCUAGAGACUUACCAGGUUGGUUCUUUGUGACGUAUCAUUGGAGUGUACACCGUGAUUCCAGCACAGAGCAAUGGCGCUGCUAGAUCCAUCGGGUAGUUUUCUGGAAUCCUGAAGCAAUACCUGUCAAUGAAGCACCACGAUUAAGUUUCCAAAUAACACCAAGAGAGGAAGUGGUUUCCCAAUAGAAUCAGCAUCCUGUCUUUGUUGUCUAAAAGGAAUCAAAUCACAGAGCCAGACAUCCUAUCUUCCACAUGCUUGGGAAUUUUACUUGCUUAGACCACAAUUCAGCAUCAUGUUGUUUCUGUGAUCCUUGUUCUGACCACAAAUUGCUCAAGACAAACAUUUCUUGCUGUAGCAAUGUAAAUAAAGCAAUUGCAGCAUACAAGAGGCCACACUCGAUUAAAAUUAAGAAAAGACACUUGCUCUAAGAAAGGAAACUGGUGGCAUAUCACAUAUGCUUGACUGAACACGUAAUUUCUGUAUUUCCUUCAAUCAAUUUCUCCAAAGGACUCAAGAUUCCUGUGGCUCUAUCAGAAACAAGAAUUAGUGAAAGCACAUACAUUUAGCUACCCAUUUGAUCUGAUAUUUAUGAUCUAACUCUAACAAUCUAAGGACAGCUUAUUCCAUUCUUGACGAUGGUUAUUCAAAAGAAAGAAUUUCUUUUCGCAUUUAAUAAAGCCAAUUCUCCAUUGAAUGGUUUGAAUGGUAAUUGGAUACAGAGGACUUAAAGACUCUCCAGAGUCGUUAUAGAAAGUAUCUUUAUCCCGUUCCACAAGAUGCAAUUAAUGCCUAAAAGCCAUUCCUCACAGUCCUAUGCAUUAUGCCACUUCUGGUCACAAUCAGAAUAAGAAGAAAAUUAGCAGAGAAGAAGACAUGACAUGAAAUCUUUUUUUGGCCACCAUGAUUUGGAAUUCUGUCACAGUGCAAAAUGCUGCCUAAUAACACUGUGUCAAUAAGCAAUUACCUUUCAUGGACGACAAUGUGACUAGAAUAUCCUCCCUUUGUGACUGUACCAUCCGCAUCGAUUCCAUCAAAAGUCAAAACCGCCUUUUCACAUUGGGUUUCUAGCCUGUCAUUGCAAUACUCGCACUCUCUGCAUGAAUUGACAUAAGUUCCCACCCCCACAUGAUUGCCAACUUUGAAGCGUUGGACACUGGAGCCAACCUGUUUCACAAUUCCAACUAUCUCGAGCCUGAAUCAAUCAAAAAAAUCAUUUGCAAAUUUUGUUCAGAGAAUUAUGAGGAUGGUGCUAAGAAAAAAAGAUUAACAUUCGAAUCACGCUGCAUCCUACCCUGGCACCAGAGGAUACUUGGAGUGUCCCUGCACAUUCCUAGUCCAAGCCACAUCUGCAUAGCACACUCCACAGUGCGUGAUCUUAAUCGAGACGUCUUCGCUUCCCACGGCCCUAAAGAGAUGAUUCCCAAACAGGUGAGCAUAUAAUCCAGUGAAUAAUCAGACUAGGGUACCUUUUUUUUCCAUUUUCAAGAUCAACAAACUAAGCUUGACCUACGAUUAUCGAGAAAACAAGAAACCAGAAAUGAGAAAAGGAAAAAUUCCAUGACUACAAGCAUAUUUGUCCAUACGGUAGAUACAACCUCAAAUGCUCAGAAAGGCAGCCAGUACAGGAUCCUCAUGUCUGCCAUGAAAUUCUGAGUAACCCAUAACCAACAAUUCUCGACCCAGAAUUCAGCGCAUACACAACAAAAGAAAGAACGAAAAAAAAUGAAAUGGUCUGGACCGAAAACUGUCUCGCAUGAACACUUCGGUAGAAAUCGAAAAACAAAUGGCAAUACCUGCGGGUGAAUUUGUAGGGGGAGAGGAACCCAGAAGGGUCCCGGGCAGCCCAACCGAGGCAAUCCUCCUUCCCACCCUCCGAGCUCAUCUUCUGUACCUACACACCCAGCGAAGCAAUCACACAAACGGGUACGGUUAGAUUCAUCCAAAGAAGAAGAAGAAGAAGAAAGGGUGAGAACUCGAACGAGAGAGUGCCCAAGAUCAGAGACUCGACGGGUCAUCACUAGGCGACGACUCGAGUCACAACAAGCUCGCCAUCACUCACUCACCUACACCCACCUACCCAAACACAACCCCACAGCAACUCAGAGAGAGAGAGAGAGAUGACUACGGAGAUGGAGAGAGGUUACGCGGUGGAGUAUGCGGGAGCGCGAAGAGGGUGAUGAGCCGAGCAGAGCCGAGGACGGGAGGUUCAACGAAGACUUUGCCCCCUCCCUACCUUGCAGGAGAGCUGCGAGUAAUCCGAUGGAUUAAAUUGGAAGGAAAAAUUAUCCCAAACUUUAGCUCAAUAUGUAACGUCAUCUAUAAAUUUUUAAUUUACUCGAUAUGAUUAUAUUAUAUGUUAUUGCAAAUUUUAAAUUAAUGGAAUAACAAUGUUGAAUAUUUUUAUAUAUUGAAUAUAUAUUAAAAGUUCAUUAACUAUAUUAAAUAAGUUAAAAGUUUACAGACUAUAUUUCGCAUUACAUUAAAGUUCAAGGACAACAUUAAAUAAAUUAAAAAUUUAGGGAUUACAUUGCAUGUUAGAUCAAAAUUCAAGAUCAUUUAUGUGGUUAUCACAAAUAACUACUAUCAAUGGAAUUACCAUUAGGAAAUUGAAUAUCUAAACGGAGUCGAAGAUAAGUAUUUAAGUUUGUCAUGCCCCGAACCCCGAAGGCGUGUCCAUCUCUCUUUGGUCGAUAAUAUUUUGUGACUUCUCAAGACAAGUCGUCAACCCUUUUUGUUUUAUUGCACAUGCGAAAGCAAAUAAUAAAUCUCCUGUUAGUAAUCAUCUUGGGAUAGAAACAUGACAACAGAUUCAUAAACAAACAUGCUUUUGUAAUUACAUAGUCAUGUAUAGGGUUUAUGACCAAAAGAUCACAAGGACUGGCUUUUAAAAAAGAAACGGUUCUAAUUGACCUACAUUUCUGAUCAUCUCCUCUCAGCUCUAGGUCCUUCACUUGACGACUUUGAAAGACAAUGUCUCAGUAAGUCCAUCUACUAAACCCUGAUUAUGAGGGAAAUACGCUUCAGGACACUCUAGUCACACAACCACACAAUUAGAUAGGAAACUUAUCUCGCCUUAGUUUCUUCCUAUAGAUUAGCACAAUUCAUAUCUCAAAUGCAUGCAAUUUAUGCAUAUGACAAUUAAAACGCCUUACUUUUCUUAAUCAAUUACAAGGGUCUCAGCCCAGUUCAUCAUAGGAGUCUCAAUUAUAAGACCAAACUGUUAUGAUACAAUCCAUAUCAUGCCACGCAAUUUUGUCUCAUAAUCAAGCGCAUCAAACUCAGACAAUCAUGCGUUCCAAUUGUUAAUUAAGCCACUCAAGGCACUGUCGACAUCCAUGUUCGAUAGUCUAUUGGCAUAGCCAGGUAUCGUCUCUUCCUCAUAGAGCACGGCUACGUCACAUUGGCGACUAUCCCGAACGCGCUUAGGUCCAGAAUCUACUACGACCCGCUACCCUAAUGCAUGGGUAACCUGAAAAGUGGGAUUUAGUAAUGUCCAGCGUAAACGCUAGGACGGGUUCACUUUAACCAACACACGACCACUCAAUCUCGGCCUAGGAUACUGUGCAUUGUACACAAAUGCCUUAAUUAAAGUAGUGAUCCUGGUAUAUUUUCUUCGUAUUAAAAACAUUCCAGAAAAUAGUCGUGUGUGGGUAUACAAUCAGAUUGAACCCAAAAAAUUCAUAACAUUCUUUUAAAAAAUCCAAUGGUUUAUACUGUAUAUAAAACCAUUUUCGGUAUUUAAAACCCGACACCCAAGAUUUUCUGAAUAAAUAACAAAUUUUAUAAAUUUUUAGAAUAAAUGUCCAAAAAUCCAAUUAACACUCAAUUUGCGUAAUUUAACACUCGAUUGUAGAAAUUAACCACACCAUUGCAAUUAGUACGAAAUUCCGAUCAUUGGCUAUCCCGGCCUAAUUUGCGGAAAAUAUUUAAUAAUUAAUUAAUUUCUAAAAUUAAUUAAAUAAAUCAAUUUAAAUACUAAAAUGCCAACCUAGGCCAAAAUCACUAAAUUAAAUACCAACACGGACCCAAAAAAUUCUUGAACCCUUCUAGAUAAAUAACACAAUUUAUCUAGGUCUCACUUAAUCUAAUCUAAUCACCUAACAUGUAUAAUUGCAUAAUUAAAUCACUAAAUUAAUCUAACUAACCACCUAAUUCAUAAUUAAAUAAAUAUAAACACAUCUUAGACAUCAUUAGCCUACUAAGAAGAGUUUAGUGAAUAAACUCACCGGUUAAUUGCGAAAACCGGUUCACUGCGAUGAUGACGUGACAGCAGCUGAAAUCCGAAUUUUCGGUAGCAUCGAUAGACACUCAGACCGGGCACAAAAACCUUGCAAGCCCACAGCAAAUUGCUAGGCUUGGUCUGGGCUUGACCUGAACUUGGGCCUGAGCUUGGGCUGACUUGCUUUGUGGGCUUGGGCUCGGAACAAAAGCUGAAAUUACGAACUAGGCUUGCGACACUUGCUGGGCUUGACUGAAGAUGGGCUACUGCGCAGGCUCAAAGGAGCUGCUGGGCCGGAAUUGUCGCAGUGAAGAUGGACUUCAAAUUGCUGGGCCGAGAAGCCUAGCCCGUUCACGGCCACAGCUGGGCUGAGCUAGGGCCGAAGACACAAAAUGGAGAAACGGGCGUGGAAGCUGGGCUGCUUCAACUUCGCUGGAAACGUGGAUGGCUUGAAGGAACUGAGGCAGCCACGAAGAUGGAAGAAGCAACGUCGACGAACUGCUUGGGACGAUGGCAGCUGGUGGAAGAGUCAACUUCGGUGGUCACAUGGGCUGGCUUAUUGACCGAGAGAGGGCAGGCGGUGGACGUGUGGCAGCUACUGGAUCCGCGUGAGGCUUCGGUGGGUUUUGUUUCGCGGAGAUGAGCUGCUCGGUUGAAAGAAAAAUCGGUGGUGUUGAGCUGGCGAUGUGCAGGCGUGCGUCGUUGAAGAUUUCUUGGUCAAUAAACGGCAAUAUGACAAAGAUGGUGGCUGGCUUCGGUUUUGAGGGAUAAUGGGGAGAAAACAAAGUUGCAGGUGUGCGGCGUGGAUGACCGAAGGGGAUUGGGCGAAGGAAAUGAAAAUAAAAGAAUGAAAGGAACGGCAGAAGCUGAGGAAGAAGUGUUCGUUUUUCUUGGUGAGUGAUAGAGAGACAAAAAGUCCAACACUCAGCCAAAUUCAUAAAUGCUUGGUCCCCUUAGACCUUCACUCUUAUCCCUUUUGUCUCCAAUUACUUUCUAAGCUUUCUCUUCACCAAUAAACCUAAUUUUGAAGCCCAAAAUUGUUGCCCUUUUCCAAAUCCGAAUUUCACAAUUUUUGGCCUUCAAUUUCUUCAACAAUUUCCCAAAUUCGACGUCCAAUUUUGAUGUAAAAAAAACCUACAUAAUUUCUACUAGUCCCCCUCGCCAUAUAGCUCGGUUUGCAAGGCGAAAAUCUCUUCAUUUUGACUGAUCCGAAUUUCCACUAAUUUUUCGCAACGUCCAAAUCGAUUUUUCGUAAAAAUCUCGGGAUCCUCAAAAAAUCUUCGGAGGAUGACGACGUUCCUAAAAUAGAUCGUGACAUGAUAGAAAUUUUAAUUUUUAAAAUCGGGUUCAAGUUCGCGGUUAAUUUCAAUCCAACGCGUUUUUAGCGUGACCUAAUCUACUAGGUAACUUUUAUGAAUUUUUUGUACAAUUGACCCGUGAUCGAUUUAUCUCGAGUCACAUUGUACAUAUUCGAUACAUGACGACUCUCGAUUGUUGUGAAAAUCUCGAGAUAUCAAUUACGGGCACCAGGUACCAAAACGAUAGAAAAUCGAUUUAGUGCCGAUCGACGAGUAUUUUGCAAUUAGGUGGAAUCACUUACACUCUAAUCACACAUCUCACUCAAGUUAACCUAUCUUCGGUCUCUAAUUGAUUUCGACAGUAUUGUAAUGACCCUUCCAGAUCAACACGGUUAAGCAAUCAAUUCCUGGUCGAAUUCUCAAGUCCAUUGUAUUUAGAUUCCUUAAUUGUUUCUCCAGAUAGUCUAGUUAUCUUGUGAGUGAUCGGCUCAAAGAAUAGCACUAUCAACGCGUCGACGAAAGGCCCAAUUUAUUUAAUUGAAAACGAAUUAUGAAAGUUCAAGCUGUCACAAAGUUUGCCCUAAGCAUUGAAAAAUAAAAUAAAAUAAGGGGACAAUCUAAAGAGUUUAGUACAAUUUUAGUCUUGGGAGUUUCUAUGUUACAUAUGAUCUAGUCCUCUAACUUUUCUAUUUUUAUACACUCAAAUCUUUUGUCAUAUUUAGUUUUUAUGCAAUUAAGUUUUAUUUUUUCAUUCAAGUCAAUCAACGUUCUCAACUAGUGCAAUCGAGUACUUCACUCACCCAUCAUAACACACAAUUCCAUUUUUCUUUUUCUAAGUUUACUUUUCGCUUAUUUGGCACCACCUCAACAUUGUGCGAUAUUUUCUACCUCAAUGAUAAUACUAUGUUAUUGAUUACUAUGACGCAUUCAGCAAGAGGAUUUAUUGAACGAUUUAAUUGCACGAAUCAAGAAAGUUAGAAGACUUGAUUGAACAAAAUAUAAAGUUAAGAGGAUCAAAUUGUGCCGAUAUGGAAAUUUGGAUGACUAAAAUUGCAUCAAACCCUUUUAUAGGGAGAUGGGUCAGCCACAAUAACAUAUUCUUUUUCAGUGACUGGCUUUGACACAACCAAUACAACAGUAGUACGAAAAUGAAAGAUGAGUGGACAAAAGAAGGGCAACAGAUGUUAAACGAAACCUGUUUCCCAAAAGCACCAUGCAGAAACUUCCUUUCAUUGGAAAAUUUUUCUUGAAACGGAACUAAAGAUUACUGGCUUCGACAUAAUCGAUGAACAUACCAAGAGCUGAGGCCUUAUCCAACAACAACGUGAAAAUGAAAAAUGAGUUGAAAAGAAAUGGACAGCAGCUGUCAAAUUAAACAUUUUUUCCAUGUCUCGUUCAGAACUUGUCACUCCCUCAUUACCAUCUUGACCCUUUUGAAAUUGGAAGUGAAGGUUACUGGCUUCGACAUGACCAAUGUAUAACUUGUCGCUCAUGCAAUAUGGUAUAUAGAAAUGAAAGAUGAGUAGAAAAAGAAAUGGACGAUUGCUGUCAAAUUAAAACCUUUCCCAAGUCAACUUGUCGCUCCCCUUCCUUCCAUUAAAAUGCUUUUAUGGUGGAACUGAAGAUUACUGGCUUUGACACAACCAAUGUAAACCCUCCAAGAGGUGAGAGAACUUAUGCAAAAGUAUAAAAAUGAAAGACAAGUCGAAAAGAUGAGGACAAUAACCAAACGCGUGCAACUCAAUUGCACUUUUCGAUAAGGAUAAACUGUACCUCUCCUCAUCAUUGAAAGAGAUAGGAUUAAACGCAGACGUGAUUGACAUAGAGAUUCUUACUAGAAAUUAAAUAAAAAUAAGUCUUUCUUGGUAACAGGAUGUUUGUUCUCGUGACCGUGUAGGUCUUUCUAGGUUCUCUGACGCGUGCCAUGAGGUCAUGGCAUGUUAUGCAACCAGAGAUAUCCAUUCCAUAUUUCUAUGGUAACUAUCCAUCGUUACCUCCUGUGAACCUAAGAAGAACAAAACCAAUCCAUAAAGCUGUGGAGGAUCAAGAACAACCCGCCCUAAGUUAUUGAUGAACUGAGUUAACUGUUUGAAGCCUAAGUAGCGAAUCAUUUAAAGUUUAAGCUACUAAAAUGUCAGAUGCCAAACAGAAGGAAAAUCUACAGAGCCAACAUCUGCAUCGGAUCAACGAUGGCAUAUCAACAACUAAGGGAAAAAUCUGCUACUAAAUAUUUAUCUGAAACUACAAGCGAGGAUCGCGUUGCACUUGCAUAAGUCUGUUAACGCAGGUCAAUGGUCAUGUUCUGGCCAGCUAUGUAAGAAGUUUGAAAACUCUACACGGACAGGCACCAUUUGCAAGAAGACCUGUUCCCUCAAAUGCUCAUCUUUGUACUGAGCUGGAAAUGCUUUUAGCAGAUGACUGUGCCUCCAGAAACAAAUCGCACGAAGUGGCCCACAAUUCUCUGGCAAGUCCGGUGUCGUACGAAACUGAAGAAGAGUUGAUAGUCCGGCACUUCCCACCAAAGAAUACACACCAGAAAUUUCCUAUAUUUGCAAGACAGCGGCUAUUAGUAAGCACUGUUCCAACAUAUAAUAGCAGCCGCAUAAGAUUGAUACCACAGAUUAUCAGCAGAGAAGGGAAAAUCAAUUCUGGAAACACUCUGUCAUACCGUAGAAUCAACAUUAAUGGAUUUUAUGUCCAAUGCUAGUACGACCUCAAUUGAGGAUAAAACGAGAGAGACUCAUUCAAGAUGGUUCAGAUAAGUGAAGCACCAGUACAGGAAUGCUUUACACCAGCCCCAUUUAGUGGGAAAAAAUCACUAUCACCCAUAUCUGCAGCUGUGGUUGCCUAUUGAGAUGAAACACAAGUGAUUUCAUUGCAGUCCCAUCUAGCAGUCCCAUCUAGCAUAUAGCAGAAAUUAAAGAUAACGAUUGCAGUCAGAAAAACACAUAAGAGAAUUGUUGCUGUAACUCUCUUUACUUUAUUCAUCAGAACAUAAGCCUAUUAAAUACGCAGAACAUCCAAACCACUAAGCAAGAAAAUAGCUAUAGAACAACAACAACAAAGACCCACUAACACACCCCACUGACCAGAACAUGUGGAGAAACUAACUCCUAAAAACAAGCCACUUCCUAUUGAAUAGGACUCCACUAUUACAUUAUUGAAGACAUGUAAAAACUGAAAGUUCACUACUUCAACAAUUGAUGGUGUCACUUCAAGGAGUUCUCAAUGUCGAUCACAAAUCGAUACUUAACAUCUCUCUUGAUGAGCCUCUCUAGAGCUUCGUUGGCAUAAUCGAUCGGUAUCACUUCGAUAUUUGGGUAUAUCUUCUGCGCUGCACAUAGGUCUAUCAUUUCUUGGGUAUCCUUUGUUCCUCCCGUUAGGCUACCUGAAACAGUUCUCAUAUCUGCCAAAAGUUCACCGCGAGCAACUUAGUUCACCUAUCAGGUAUAAAAUUUCUUUUAGUAAUCAGAUUUAGAACAAAAACAUACUGUGGUUAAGGCUGGCUGGACUGAAUUUAACUUCGCUCGAGCCGACCAAUGCUAGAAUGCCACCCGUCUUCAAAACAGACAUGUAAGGAUCAAAUGGGUGAUUGCCGGAUGCCGUGUCAAUUAUAAAGUCCAGGGACUUAGCAAUGGCCUGCGUGCAUUGGAUUUAUCAGAUCACAACAGAAUUUGACCACCAUGGAUCUCAAUGUGGGAUAAUUCUAGUUUUUCCUUUUUUUACCUUCAUUUGCUCUACGUCAGAUGAGAUAACGAAAUGGUCAGCCCCAAGCAGGCUCAGUGCUUCCUCCUUUUUAGAAAUGCUUGUACUGAACACUGUGACUUUCAGGUCCAAAAGCCUUCCCAAACUUAACUGCCAUAUGACCGAGCCCGCCAAGUCCAAUUACACCUAGAGACUUACCAGGUUGGUUCAUCUUGUGACGUAUCAUUGGAGUGUACACCGUGAUUCCAGCACAGAGCAAUGGCGCUGCUAGAUCCAUCGGGUAGUUUUCUGGAAUCCUGAAGCAAUACCUGUCAAUGAAGCACCACCAUUAAGUUUCCAAAUAACACCAAGACAGGAAGUGAUUUCCCAAUAGAAUCAGCAUCCUGUCUUUUUUGUCUAAAAGGAAUCAAAUCACAGAGCCAGAAAUCCUAUCUUCCGCAUGCUAAGGAAUUUUACUUGCUUAGACCACAAUUCAGCAUCAUGUUGUUUCCGUGAUCCUUGUUCUGACCACAAAUUGCUCAAGACAAACAUUUCUUGCUGUAGCAACGAAAAUAAAGCAAUUGCAGCACACCGGAGGCCACACUCGAUUAAAAUUAAGAAAAGUCACUUGCUCUAAGAAAGGAAACUGGUGGCAUAUCACAUAUGCUUGAUUGAACACGUAAUUUCUGUAUUUCCUUCAAUCAAUUUCUCCAAGGGAGUCAAGAUUCCUGUGGCUCUAUCAGAUACAAGAAUUACUGAAAGCACAUACAUUUAGCUACCCAUUUGAUCUGAUACUUAUGAUCUAACUUUAACAAUCUAAGGACAGCUUAUUCCAUUCUUGACGAUGCUUACUGAAAAGAAAGAAUUUCUUUUCGCAUUUAAUAAAGCCAAUUCUCCAUUGAAUGGUUUCAAUGGUAAUUGGAUACAGAGGACUUAAAGACCCUCCAAAGCAGUUAUAGAAAGUAUCUUUAUCCCUUUCCACAUGAUGCAUUAUGCCACUUCUGGUCACAAUCAGAAUACGAAGAAAAUUAGCAGAGAAGAAGACAUGACAUGAAAUCUUUUUUUGGCCACCAUGAUUUGAAAUUCUUUCACAGUGCAAAAUGCUGCCUAAUAACAUUGUGUCAAUAAGCAAUUACCUUUCAUGGACGACAAUGUGACUAGAAUAUCCUCCCUUUGUCACUGUACCGUCCGUAUCGAUUCCGUCAAAAGUCAAAACCAUCUUUUCACAGUGGACUUCUAGCCCGUCAUUGCAAUACUCGCACUCUCUGCAUGAAUUGACAUAAGUUCCCACACCCACAUGAUCGCCAACUUUGAAGCGUUGGACACUGGAGCCAACCUGUUUCACAAUUCCAACUAUCUCGUGCCAAUCAAUCCAAAAAAUCAUUCGCAAAUUUUGUUCAGAGAAUUAUUAGGAUGGUGCUAAGAAAAAAGAUUAACAUUCGAAUCACGCUGCAUCCUACCCUGGCACCAGAGGAUACUUGGAGCGUCCCGACAUAUUCCUAGUCCAACCCACAUCUGCAUAGCACACUCCACAGUGCGUGAUCCUAAUCGAGACGUCAUCGCUUCCCACGGUCCUAAAGAGAGAAUUCCCAAACAGGUGAGCAUCUAAUCAAGCAACUAAUCAGACUCAGUUACCUUUUGUUCUCAUUUUCCAGAUCAAUAAACUAAGCGUGGCUUACAAUAAUCAUACAUUCAACCCAAAGCAAAAUUUAAGAAAAGAGAAAUGAAAAGGAACCAAAUCCAAGACUAUAGCAUUUGUCUGAAUAGUACAUACAACCUCAAAUGCUCACAAAGGCAGCACCUGAAUCCUAAUGUCUGCCAUGAAGUUCUAAGCAACUCAUUCUGGGACAUGACAUCUCAUGCGUACGAACAAUUCUCUACCCAGAAAUUAGUGCAUACACAACAAAAUUUAUAAAAGCAAAACGAAAUGGUUUGGUUAAUGUGGAAAUUUAAAUAUAUGACAAGCAUCAAAAACUGUUUUGCAUUACAGGUGAGAGGAUAAGACCUGAGAACACUGUAUUGAGAUUAUUCAGACAAAUACUUCAAUAGAAAUUGAAAGUAUAAGGAGCAGAUGAAUUAAAUAAAGAACAAUGGUAACAGUAAUACCUGCGGCUGAAUUUGUAGGGGGAGAGACGUCCAGAAGGAUCUCUGGCAGCCCAACCAAGACAAUCUUCCUUCGCACCCUCUGAACUCAUCGUUCCUCAACGACCUCAACUGAAAUCGACCCACAAAAAAAUUGCUGCGUUAAUCUCUCAAUAAGCUGAAUUAUGGAAGAAGAAGAAGAAUUAUUUUCGUGAAAGAGAAAUGAAGAAGAGAAUUUCAAACCGAAAAACAGAAGUUCAAAUGGUCAAAAGGCCAAAUGUCACGAAGACUUGGCAAUUCCGUUUCCGUGCAGACAGGAUUUUGCUGUCUGACUUUUGAGCAAAGAGCGAGAUUGAUUAGCAGAGAACGAGGUUGAGCGCUCAAAAACCGUCACCUCUUUAUAGAUGCCAUAGCGUCGCCUGUUCUUGAUUUUUUUUUUCGUUUUAUCUUGUGGAAAAGAAUUAGUGCCAAACGUAAGCCAUUACCUUUCCCAGUAACGUCUUCUGGAGUACGGUUCUUGGUAUUUGCGGAAAUGUGUGUUUGAUGUGUGUGUAAGUGUGUUUUGUGUGUGAACUAUCAAGAGAGCAAAAGAACUAAAAAACGAUGUGAGGAAGAAAUAGUUGGACAAAAUAAUAAUGAGAAUGUGUAAAAGACAAUAAGGCUGAGGCGGUGAAGGAGAGAAACUUGAAUGAAAGUCAACAAUAGUGGCUGAAGAUGAAACUAGUAUGUGGACAGAAAGAGUAUUUGGAGAAGAAAAUGAGUUGUCUUGUAGCUGUACUGCGGCAGUGAAAAAGUGAAAAAUGUCAUGUCGGUUGUAAUUGCCUAUAUAGGCUUAUCAUAUGCUGUGUGAGGUGAACCCUUCACCUUGUGUGGGGUGACCCCUCCACUGUGAGAGGUCUUAGACCUCCACCAUGACCAUAUGAAGAGUGACUAUCAACACCUCCAUUAAAUUAUUUUGUCUUCUUCAAUAAGUUCUUGACAGCUGGAGUUUGAUGAAGAAACUUUGAUUCAUGCUUCUAUUUCUCAUGCACGUAGACUUCUUUAGCCUGUUCUAGGAUUUCUUCUUCAACUUGGCUUUUUCUUACUUGCAUUCCCAUGUGAAUCUUUUAGGUUCAGCUAGCAACCAUCAUUCUCAACAAGUCUAAACAAUCUUCAACAUGGAUGCUGCUACCAACGUUUAUUAAUUUUUAGACAGUUUUAGAGAAAAUGAAUUAUAAUUUCCAACAUAUAGUAUUUUGGAGAAAAAAGUAUUUCAGCAUAACUGUGCAAGGAUUUGUAGAUCACUACAACAUCACCGGAGGCAAAUAAUUAUCCGUCAUUGACAUGAACGAUAUAGAAAAAAUUCUUUUAAUCAUUUACCUUAGUUUAGCAAGAUCUGCUUAAACGACAGCCUUGAGUAUCUUCAAUUCCUUUUCUCUUGCCUUCAAAAAGAUAUUGAAAUGCGACACGGAAUAUCAAGACAGAUUGUCAUUGACAAAGCCGUAAAAGCCUACUCGAUCUGGCAAAACUGGGGACUGUUCUUUCCAACGAUCUUGACCACCUCGGCAGCUGCUGUGCAAAUGGAUAGGAAUGCAUGCAGAGGGACAAGCUGAUUGUUACCUGCUUUUAGUCGUUCAUUUGAAACUGUAAGAUUCAUGUGCCAUAAGAUAGCUAGACAAGCGAGCAAAAAAUGAUGCGCCUUGCACCAAAGGUGGCAAGAGCAAUUAAAUUAAAUUCAAACCAAAAAAAGCUUGAUGCAUAAAAUGAAAAGUCAUCCUUUGAGCGAAUAAAUGACAAAGUAAGUGCAAUGAGAGUCACUAAUGUUCACGCUAGACUUAUGCCAUGACCAUUCCUUAGUCGAGAGAACGUAAGCAGCGACAUCUUCUAGAUAGUGGUUACUAGCAAUUUUAUUUUUUAUCCCCAGCCUAAUCAUAUUAUCCGAGUUAUAAGCUCAGAAAGAAGUCAAUGAGCAAUCUACCGCUAGGACCUAUGAAUGGUCAUACGAUAUUGGUUACACAUCUUGUUAGAAUAUAAUAUGCGGAAAUAAUAGGAUCUUGCAAUUUACGUCAACGCGCAAAAUUCCAGAUAAAUAAACGAGAAAUAAUAAGAAUCAUAAAUUUACGUGAUUCAGUCCGAGUAUCGAUAUUUACAUUCACAGGGAGAGCCAGCAACAAAUAGUCCAUUAUAAUAGGAAAAUCAGAAUUUACAAUCGCACACACGCUCGAUUACUUCCCACACCAAGAUUUAAGCUCAUACUCAAAGAGUUUAUAAAUAAAUAAUUCACUUGGAAAUUAUCUCGCGUUCAAGCUUUAAACUACAAAACAUUCUACGUACGCCAAAAACAAGAACUCCGGCAUUUGUCUUUUGGUUCGCGUACAUACAGAUUCGUGUUCUUCUUUGCUUGAUCGUUCGUGUGGCGCUGUUCUAGACGCUCCUUUUGUGUGGCUCUUUCUUCUUCGUAGGGCUUCAGCGACUCUUUCUAAAAGAAAAAAAAAAAAAACGUGUUCUAAUUUAUAUGUGAGCCUAGAGUCUAACAACUUUGACUUUGAGCCCCACCACGUGCUUCUUUGUUCAAUGGGAAGUGGGACGCGGUGAAGAGACCCUACCUUUUUCUUCCUCUUUCCUUUAUUUUAUAUAUAUUGUGUGCCCAAAGUUAAGACUUUGACUUUGGGCCCCACGUAGAGAGCCUUGUUCGGCUCCCGUAGAUAGAUAAAGAAGAAUCUUUGCUCCUUUUUUGUUAUUCUAUUUUAUUUUCUCUUUUAUAAACUUUCAUGGAGUCCGACGAAGCUUUUUUUUGUUGAUCGAAAAUAUCCAAGACCCAAAAAGAAUUUCGAAUUUCUUUUCUUGUGCAUAAUCUUGAAUAUUAUAUUCAUCAGAAAAUAUCUUCACGAUCAAAUAAUAAAAAAUUUAUCCAAGCAAAUUGCGUUUUGCAAAUAUUUAAAAUUGAGACAUAAUUUAACACAUCUGAUAUGAUGUACUACCCAAUUACUGUCCUCUGACAAUUUAUAUUUGAUUAAUUUAUUUCAAGAAUAUUCAUUUGUUAAACUUGUUGGCUUACAAAUCACUGUCACUAUCACGUGAUAUAUCCUAUAUUGAGAAUACUUGGGAGCAUCUAUGCUUGUUUUAUGUAUGUUAUGCUUGUGAUGCAUCUUGUUUUGAGUGGACUGUAGAACUAUUUAAGUUCAUGCCAAUUUGACUAAUUUUUUAUCUGGAUAAGUGCAUUGGAAUAUUUAAAAACUUAUCAUAAAAAUACAAUUAAGCCAUGAAACUUUGAAAUCAAGUUCUAGAACUUGUCACGUUGGUCUAAUCUAAAUCCUUCCAUUGCAUUUUUGAAAAUUUCAGUACUUAACUACAAUUUUCUAACAAGUUUUAGUAUUUCCAAUAUACAUAUUUGUCUUUCAACCUCACUAAUGUUUUUAAGCAAUAAUGAGCUUGACAUAUCUCUGAUUUCGGAAUUUCAAUGGCUAUAGGAGACAAAAGGACGUCCUCUAAUGAAUCAACAAUCUUAUGCCAUGACAAAGCUGGAAGAGAGAUGAGUGUCUUCCAUAGUUAUAAAAAAUGUUCAUGCGAUAAUCUGUAGGAAUUCGUCUUCCUGACGUGCAUGAAUAUUUCCGGCCAUGAAACAUUUCACAGUGAAGACAUUCUGUCACUUAAACUGGCAAAAGGAUAUUGAGCUUGUUCUUUUGGCGAGGGUAUUGCUAUUAAAUAUGCCAAUUAAUUCCACGACUAUUAGCAUUUGUUUAAAUAGAGCAUACAACCUAAAAUGCUCACAAUGGCAGCUGGUACUGGAUCCUCAUGUCUGCCCAUGAAAUUCUGAGUGCCUCAGACAUGGCAUAUCAUGCACACAAACAAUUCUCAACCCAGAAAUUAGUGCGUACACAACAAAAGUUAAAAAAAGAAAAAAAGAAAUGGUUUGGUUAAUGUGGAAAUUUAACAUAAUGACAAGCAUAAAAAAACUGUUCAGCAGUACAGUAGAGAGGUCAAGACCUGAGAACACUGUAUUGAGACUUAUUCAGAUGAACACUUCAGAUAGUCACUAAAAAGCUAAGGAGCAAAUUGAAUAGAGAAGGGAAAAGUGCCAAAAAAGUCCUAAAACUUUUGUCAUUGUGCCGAUUUAGUCCUAAACAUUUUUAAGUUGUGCAAAUUCAGUCCUUUCCGGCCAAUUUUGCCCGGAUUUUGCUGACUGGACGCCAGUCAGCUGACGUGGACAAUUUUUAAUAAUAUUUUAAUAUUUUAAUAUUUUAUUUUUUAUUUUUUUAUUUUUUUUAUUCUGCUCUUCUUCCUCCAGCCGGUCGCCGGACCUCGGCGACCAGCCACCUCGCCAGUGGCCGCGGGGGCGGCCUCGCGUGGGGCGGCGAGGCUCACCCUCGCCGGAUCUGGCAAGGGUCGAGCCUCGCCCAUGGCCGGCGAGGCCGCCCUCGAGGCCUGGGCUGCGAGGCUCGCCCUCGUCGGAUCUGGCGAGGGCGAGCCCCGCUAGCUUGCCGGAUCUGGAUUUGGCGAGUGAGGGGGUUUGAGCAGGGGGAGAGAGUCAGAGGGGGUAAACCGCUGGCCACCCACCUGAGCCGCGGCCGUCGGCCUACGGCCGCGCCUGGUUUCAAGCACCGAAGCUUCGGUAGGCCUCGGUCCUUUUUUGUGCCUUGCGUUGGUCGGACUAGGCCAGAGCUCGCGGUCUUCAAGGAUUCGGUUCGAGAUCUGAGGGCGUUUGAUCUGGGCGGGACUUGAGAGAGAGAGAGUCCUCUCCCGGCCAAGCCGAGGAAACCCUGGCCACGUGAGACCACCGCCACAAUGCUGCCGCCCAAUGCCGUCCACCGCUGCUCGCCGACCCGCCGCCAUAUCCAGCGAGGGCGAGCCUCGCCCGCCCCGCGCGAGGCCACCCCCACGGCCACUAGCGAGGUGGCUGGCGAGGUCGAGGUCGACCUCACCGGCCGUCACCUCUGGCCGGUCGCCGAGGUCCGACGACCGGCUGGAGGAAGAAAACCAGAAUAAAAAAAUAAAAAAAUAAAAUAAAAAAUUCAAAAAUAUUAAAAUAUUAUUAAAAGUUGUCCACAUCAGCCGGCCGGCGUCUAGUCAGCAAAAUCCGGCCAAAUUGGCCGGAAAUGACUGAAUUGGCACAACUUAAAAAGGUUUAGGACUAAAUUGGCACCAAAAAAAGGUUUAGGACUAAAUCGGCACAAUGACAAAAGGUUUAAGACUUUUUUGGCACUUUUCCCAAAUAAAGAACAAUGGUGAUGAUAAUACCUGCGGUUGAAUUUGUAGGGGGAGAGAAGUCCUAGAAACCGUCAUAAAUGCCAUAGCGAUGGAUGUUCAUGAUUAAUCUUUGAGCUUACUAUUGUGGAAAAGUAUUAGUGAUUCGCCAAAUGUAACCCAUGACCCUUCCUUAACCCAAGAACGCAUGCAGUGACAUCUUCUAGAGAGCGGCUCCUGGAAUUUUUUCCAUCCAUCCUCCCACUACCUAAUUGCAUUAUCAACCUAUUGACACAUAAACGAUGUCAAUAGGCAAUGUGCCGUUGCACCACAAGACCCACAAAUGGUCAUCUAUGUCGGUUACACCACCAAUAAUUUGUACCUGACCCUUCAUGGUCCUAUUAUUUGAUUAAUCUGUUUAAAGAACAUUCAUUUUCUUCAAACAUGCUUUCUCACGUGCCACUGUAAUAUGAUGUUUGUUGCGACCUACCUUCGGAGGGAAGGAAUAGGUUUAGGGGUAUUGGCUAAAGGACGGGCCUAAAGCCUAUAAUUAGACGCGAGCUCUCCUAAACCUAUAUCCCGCAUGACGUUAGGAUAUUCUUAAGAAAUUUUGCUCGCCACUAACCUAUUGGGGUCGGCUAGAAACCAAGUGAGGCAUGGGAGCGUGCCUCACUUUCUACGCAACCAGAGAAUCUGGGUUCGAGGACUUAAUUACACUAAUUAACUAAUUAGUACCCUUUCGAUACCUAAUCUUGUUCAUUUUAACAAAAUGAUUUUUGGCAGGCAGUUUGAAUUGAUUUUAUACUUAUCCACUGACAUAUGAUCAUGCAGAUGCGCAAUCAUUUAAAAUAAUAAUCAUAACUACCAAGAUCCUAAUUAUAGUAAAAUUAACUCAUGCAACUAAACAAUCGCAGACACAGUCGAAUAUGUAAGUUAAACAUGCAAUAUAAUCAAAAUACGAACAAAUAAAUACCGAAUUACACAAAGAAGGGCAAUACACAACAAUUCCUAAUCAAACCCUAUAUUUUUGGAUUUACGAAUUUUUUUAUAUAUAUAUUUUUUAAAUUUAAUAAUUUUGUUUUUUUAAAUAAAUUAAAUUUUCUUUUUAAAGAAAGAUUUUUUUUUAUGUUUUCUGGAUUUUUUAAUUUUCGGAAAUUUUUUGAUUUUUGAUUUUUUUUUUUGAAUUUUUAUAUUUUUAAUAUUUAAUAUUAUUAUAAUCAGGAAAACGGGUCCGACUGGGUAGAUCCGAUGCGGCCAUUGACCCGACCCAAAACCAGAUUCGACUCUAUCGGAUUGAAAGAGAAAAUAAGAUUUUUAAUUAAUUUUUUUAGUUUUUAAACACUUUUUCUGUUUUUUCCUUCUCCUCCUUUUUUGGCCUCCUCCAUGUCUUGUCUUUUCCCUGCAGUCUUCUCAUCCUCGCCGCCUUCACCGAAGAUCCGCCCCCCACAUCUUUUCCACAUUUCUAUUCUUUUUUUUCUUUUUUUUCUUUUCACCACCCUUUUAUUUCUUUUAUUUCUUGUUUUUCUUCUAAGCUUUUCUUUUAAGUUGUCUUCUCUGCAUGCUUUCUUCUCCGCUCGAAGCUUCCAUUAAACACCCGAAACCCCCUCUGCCAUUUCAUACUUUUCUUUUAUUAUUUAUUAUUUUGCCUUUUUAUAUUUCUUUUUCUUUAUUUUUCAUUUUUUUUCUCUCUUUUUGUCCUUUUCCCUAUUUCGGCUAUUCUACUGCAUCUUCUCCUUCCGAAAGCUAACGCCAAUUCUGCAACUUCCUCGCCGAAGCUCCUUCCCACCGAAUCUCAUCCGCACACUAACGACACGGCCCUGAACAAUCGGUGACCCUUCCAUCGCCCGUCCACCGGUAGUCGCUACCCCACGGAAAGAUGAACAGGCGCAAAAGAACAACAAGAAGACAAGGAAUGGAACACGGGUCCCUAAGAUAUUAAGGAACUACGUCAACAUCAAGAAAUGUUCAGAUUCAGCCAUAACAACAACAAAACCUAAACGAAAUCAUGCUCAAUGAUCCAUAAAGGAUUCCUUUUACGCAAGACCGGAGCAUACUCAUUCCAAAUGAUCCGAAAUUCACGACCUAAUCCGCGUUAACUUAGUUCAAGCGUUUUAUCAAACACGUGGUAAGCACUGACUCGGGAUGAGGUUAUUAACUCCUCUUUGGACCCGCUCGAGUCUAGACCCAGAGAAAUCAUCAAGAAACAUGCAAAAUCGACCACAUCAACUUACUCAAACUCAGCGUGCAUAUGGGCUGACAAAAGGAACAAGACAUGGCUUCCGGUUAGACCAAAACAAGGUGGAGCAGCAAGGGUUCAUGCGAACAAGCAUCUCAUCACGGAGUUCCCUACCCAACUCGAAGACGGCAGGAAGCGGGCCAACUCGCGACAAAUCGAGCUAUAGCUCGCCGCUUUGGUAUCUUCGAGCUGGGACCCUAAUCGAAAUGCAUCCAUUUGUCUCAUGCACUAUGGGGAUCCUCGGGCAAGAGAGGUUUGAACCGAGUAAAGAAACUCACCAGCGACGCCGAGAUUCGGGGGCGAAAGAUCGUAUGCUAGAGGAUAUUGGCCAGAGGUCGUCGAAGACGGUUCGAGCGUGGCCGACCUGCUACAAAACUUCUCCCUCGCUUUUGUGCUGGUGUUUUCUCCGUUGCUCCUUCUGCCAAGCCCCCCGCUCCCUCUGUUCUUCUCCUGUUUUCUUUUAAAACUGCCGUUGGUUCAUUUCCCUUUGCCUCCGUCCAAAAUGCCUUUUGCUAGUCCACGAAGCCAGCUCUCUUUCUUUUCCAUCUUCAGCUCUAAUUUUCCUCGGUCAGUCCAGCCUCCUUGCCUCUAUGUAUGCCUGCAGCCGGUCUUCUCCUUGGGACCGAGUUCGGUCUAUUUUCAGCUACAACGGCUGCUGGUUUUCUUGGGCUUCGUCAACUGCAGGCGCUGCCACGCUGCAGCCAAGCUUUCAUUGCUUCCAUUUUUCUGAAAUCGCACUUGCCGAUCCUCUGCAGAUCCUUCUUCGGCUUCCUCCUGUUCUGUCUUCUACAGGUCCUGCGCGAAGAUUGGAGGAGGGAGAAGGAUGGGGCGCGGGCUGGGCCGACGGGGGGAAAGGAGGCUGGGCCGCGGGGGGAAAAGAAAUAUAAAAAAAAAAAAAAAUUCUUGAUUUUUUUAUUGACUUUUCGAUUGAUUUUUUUUUUUUUUGUAAAAAUAGGUAUCAACAAUGUUUUUGAUACACAAAAUACUAUCUCUUCAAGAGCUUUGACUCCUAUAUACUUGGGGCAUUAAAUUUUUUUAGCAACAAUGAGCUUGGCAUAUCUCUGUUUUCGGGAUUUCAGUUGCUAAGGGAAACAAAAAGGACGACCUCUAAUGAAUCGACAGUAUUUUGCUAUAACAAACUUGGAAGAGAGAUGAGUGUCUUACGUAGUUACAAAAAAAUGAUCAUGCAAUAGUUGGUAGAAAUUUACUCUGCUGACAUGCAUGAACAUUCUGAAAAAAAAACGGAAAACGUGCAUGAAUAUUUCCGGCCAGAAAGCAUUCACGAGGAGCUGAGAGACACUAUUUCUUAAAGCAGCAAAAUGAUUACAAGUUUGUUCUUUUAGGGAGUGGAAUGAAUAAAUUGUACAAAAAAUCCUAAACUUAUUGUCCGAUCACUAAUUUAAUUCUGAACUUUUUAAUUUGAUCAAUGUUGUCUAAAACUUUUGACAAUUUUUUGUAGUCCACCUAGUUAAAUUUAGGUCAAAAAUCAGUGACAGAGCAAUUUAGUAAACACUAACCGUUUUAAGUGAUACAACUGAUAGCUUAUAUAGAUGACUUAAAUGAGGUAGCGUCAUUUCACAAUUUUUUUUUUAAUAUUCUUUCUUUUCUUCUCUUUUAGUAAUUUUUUUCCUAUUCUUUCGUUCUCUAGUGUUCUUUUUCUUCCCUCUACUGGUGGCCGAUGCCUCAGCAAUGACCAGGGACCAUCAUAGGCUACAAGUGAGGGCAUUGAGCAAGACUUACAAGCCUUCUCCUAGAUUUGUGCAAGGGCCCUAUAGGCCCUCACUGGCCAUAGGCAAUUGGGGACUUGCAAGCCCUUGCCUAGAUCUACCCUCGCAUGGGGUCAAUGUUUACCAUCACCAAGGCCUCAAUGUCUUGCUCAAGAAAGAAAAUGAACAGCAGAGAAGGAGAUGAUAGGAAAAGAAAGAAAAAAGAAAAAAAGAGGAAAGGAAAAAAGGGAAAAAAUCUGAAAUAAUAACAAAAAAUUGCAAAAUGACGUUUCAUUUAAGAUCAUCCAUGUCAAUUGCGAAUCAUGCAACGUGGCCUACCUUGUUGGAUGCAGUAGAUUUAGGAUAUUUUGAAUAUUUUUCUCUUGUUAAAUAUGCCUGAUUUAUUUGAUAUCCUAAAAUUUGUCAACUUUGUGAAAUCAAGUUCUAAAAUUUGUUGGCAUUUUUUUCAUAUUGGAUGAAGUUAAUGAAAUGACUUGAUUACAACUACUUGAUAAGUUUUAUAACUUGAUUGUAAUUUUUGAAAAUUGUAGGACUCAGUUGCAUCUCUGUAAUAAGUUUUAAAACUUGAUUACACUAUAUGUAAUAAAUUUUAAGAUUUUCAGUAUAUUUAUCUCUAAAAUAAAUAAAUAAAUAGGGCCUACCCCCUUUACAUGAACUCUUUAAUUUAAACGCACCAUGGAAUUUCCUGUCCUUUUACACUGUUUCAUUAACUAAGAAAUUUUUUUUUUUUUGGGGUUAAAACCAAGAUUUAAUUCUUUCUUUUUUUUUUCUUUUGGACGAGCCAAGAUUUAGUUCAAAGAUAGAUAUUUCCAGGAGAAAAAAUUUCAGCAAACUAUGCAAGGAUUUGCAAAAGAUCGCAACAAUAUUACCGGAAGCAUAUAAUUAUUUAUCACUGACAAAUGAUAUAGUAAAAAUUCUUUUAGUAGUUUACCUUAAGUUUAGCAAGAUCUGCUUAUUCGGCAGCCUUGAGUUUCUUCGAUUCCUUCUCUCUUGCCUUCAAACAGAUAUAGAAAUGCAAUGCAGAAUAUCAAGACAAAUUGCCAUUGACAAAGCUGUAAAAGCCUACUCAAUCGAGCAAAACUGGGACAGUUUUUCCAGUGAUCUUGACCACCUCCGCAGCAUGCCGUGGAAAUAGAUAGGAACACAUGCAGAGGGACAAGCUGAUUAUUACUUGCUUUUAGUCAAGCAUUCGAAACUGUAAGAUUCAUGCACUAUAAGAUAGCCAGACAAGCGAAAAAAUGAUGGGCAUUUCAGUUGAGGUGUCAAGAGCAAUUAGAUUGAAUUCAAACCAAAUAAAGCUUGACGCAGAAAAGAGAAAUGUUGUGCAUUGAGCGAAUAUAUGACAAAAUAAGUGCAAAGAGAGUCAUGGAUGUUCUAGCGCUUUGGCCAAUUGAGUUCUUAAAAUUUUACUUUGCUUAAUUGAAUCCUCAGCAUUUUCAAUUUCAGUCAAUUGAGUCCCUCAACCUUGAUCCUCGGAAAUAGUCACAUGGCUAUGAUUUUCCAAGUUGAUAAGAAGAUGCUCGAGAAGACAAGCGGGUAGGAGGUGAAAUGGGACCUAAGUGUAAGUUUUACUAUUUCAAUAACUACAACUGAUCUGACAGAAGAUUGAACUUUCAUGGAUCUGGCACUUCGUUUGAAGCUAUACAAACAGAAAUCAGCGGGCUCAAGAACCCAAUCUUUUAGAUAGUUUCUGAAUUAUCACACAGAAAAGCACUAGGAUAUCUUUACGCAUUCACUUAUUUCCUCUGUAAACUCACAGUUAUUAAAGUAUAUUAGGCAUCAUUUAUUUGUAGUACAUUAGGUACAGAUGUCCUCUCUUUGAGAUUCCCUCUUUUCCUCUUCUUACGAUCAGCUUUGCCAGAAGAUGUUUCCAACUUCCGACAUUGAUGAUGUCAUUUCAAGGAAUUCUCAAUGUUGAUCACAAAUCAGUACUUAACAUCUCUCUUGAUGAGCCCCUCAAGGGCUUCAUAGGCAUAAUCGAUUGGUAUCACUUCGAUUUCUUGGUAUAUGUGCUGUGCCGCACAGAGGUCUACCAUUUCUUGGAUAUACUUCAUUCCUCCAAUAGCGCUACCCAAAACUGUUUUCAAAACUGCAAAAAGUUCACUGUGAGCAACUUAGUUGGUUCGCCUAUCAUGUAUCAAUAUUUCAUUCAGUAAUGAGCUUUGAGAACAAAAACAUACCAAGGUUAAGGCUUGCCGCACUGAAUGUAAUUUCGCUUUGGGACGCAACCAAUGCUAGAACCCAUCUUCAAAAGAGACAUGUAAGGAUCAAAUAGGUGAUUAGCAGAUGCCGUGUCAAUUAUAAAGUCCAUGGACUUAGCCAUGGCCUGCAUGUAUUGGAAUCAUCAGAUCACGGCAGCACUUGACCUCCAUGGAUCCAAAGUAUUGAUAAUUCCAAAUCUUCCCAUUUGCCUUCAUCUGAAAUGGUCAGCACCAAGCAAGCUCAGUGCUUCCUCCUUUUUAGAAAUGCUUGUACUAAACACAGCGACUUUCAGUCUAAAAGCCUUCCCAAGUUUAAUUGCCACGUGACCGAGCCCACCGAGUCCAAUUACGCCGAGAGACUUACCCGGUUGGUUCAUCUUGUGACGCACCAUUUGAGUGUAUACUGUGAUUCCAGCACAGGGCAAUGGUGCUGCUAAAGCCAAUGGGUAGUUUUCUGGAAUCCUGAAGCAGUACCUGUCAAUGAAGCACCACAAUUAAGUUUCCAAAUCACACCAAAGGAGUAAGGGAUUUCCCAAUAGAAUCAGCAUCCCAUCUUUUUUGUAUAACAGGAUUCAAAUCACAUUUUACUUGCUUAGAGCACAAUUCAGCAUCAUGUGGUUUCUGUGAUUCUUUUUCUGACCACAAAUUGCUUAAGACGAAAACUUCUUGUUGUAGCGACGAAAGUAAAGCCACUGCAACAUAUAGGAGGCCAUACUCGAUCAAAAUUGAGAAAAGAGGCUUGCUCUUAACAGAGGACACUGGAAGCAUAUUGCAUGUGCAUGACAGAUCAUGUAAUUUCUCUAUUCCCCUCAAUCAUGUCUCUAAGGGACACGAUAUUCCCGCGACUGUUGGAUACAAGAAUUCGUGAAAGCACGUAAAUUUUAUUACCCAUUUGAUCUAACACUUACUAUCUAACUCUUGGAAACAAUCUACAAAAAAGGGAGGAAGAGGAGACAGAAGGCGAGAAUUGAGCAAUUUCCAUCUCUCUCUCUUUUAAUUAAGGGUUAAUAUCCUAAAAAAUCCCAAACCGGUACACGUGACAAAUUUACCCCGAUGGACUAUAAAAAAAACCCUAAACUUAUAUAUUUAUGACAAAUUUACCCCAAACUAAUUUAUUCGACGGCAAAAAACCCGAAAAUGGUAAAUUUGUGACAAAUAUACCAUCUGCUAAACUGAAUUAAUAUCACAAAAAAAUCACAAAAAUUGUAAACUGUGACAAACGGGGCGUAAAAUUUCAAAUUGGUAUACUAGUCAACUGUCACGUGUCAUUUAACUUAAUAAUUUGACAGUAAAAUUUAACGAAAACUAACAGAGGGUAAAUUUGUCACAAGUAUAACAGUUUAGGGUAAAUUUGUCAAAUGUAUACCAGUUAGGAGUUUUUGGUGGUUAAAAAAAUAGUUUGGAGUAAAUUUGUCACAUGUGUAUCAAUUUUGGGUUUUUUAGGAUAUUAACCAUUUAAUUAAUUUAGUUUUCAAUUUUAUUUUAUUAAUUUUUCAUGAAAAAAUCAUAUAUUAGAUUUAUUGGCUCACAUGUCAUUGUCACUUGAUGUGUAUGAUAUAUAGAAUAGUCCAAGAAAUUUGACUUUAGAUACUUGGGAACCCGUGAAUGGUCAUACAUUGUCGGUUACACAUUCAACAUGAUGUAUUAGCUAAUCAUAGUCCUCUAACGGUUUAUAUUUGCUUAAUAUAUUUCAAGAAUAUUCAUUUGUUAGACUUGUCUGCUCACACGCCACUGUCACUUGAUGUAUAUGAUAUGCAGAAUAGUCUAAGAGCUUUGACUUUAGAUACUUGGGAGUGUCUAUGCUUGUUUUAUGUCUGUUAUGCUUGCAAUGCUUCUUGUUUUGAGUGGACAGUACAAAUAUUUAAGUCCGUGUCAAUUUGAACAAUUUUCUUUAUUAUAGAGCAACAAUCUUUAAUCUAUUGUGUUCUUGACCACAAAAAACCAAAUAACAAAUAAGUAUAAACUAUUGUAGGGUCCAACGACAAUCUUUAAUCUAUUGUGUUCUUGACCACAAAAAAUCAAAUAAUAAAUAAGUAUACACUAUUAUAAGGCCCACUCCUUUAAAAAUUUGUUGCUCACAACAACUUAUUUAUUCUCAUAAUAACCCAAAGUUAUGCUAGCAAAGCUCUUUUUAGUAAGUGUAUUGAAAGUUUUAAAAACUUGUCACUAAAGUGCAUUGAGUCCUAAAAUUUUCAAAAAAAUGCAAUUUAAUCUUAAAAUUUGUCAUGAAAUGCAACUGAGUCUUAAAAUUUUCAAAAAGUACAAUCAAUUAUAAAGAUUUAUCAAAAUUGGUCCAAUUUAAGUCAUUCCAUUGAUUGUAAUUUUUGAAAGUUUUAGAGCUCAACUAUGCUUUCCUAACAAAUUUUAGGACUUAAUUAUACUUUUUGAAAAUUUUAGAACUUAACUGUAAUUUAUGAUAAGUUUUAGGAUUUUUAGUAUACUUAUCUUUUUUUUUUUUUUCACCUCAUUAAUCUUUUUAGCAACAAUGAGCUUGACAUGUCUCUGUUUUCAAGAUUUCAGUGGCUAGGGAAAACAAAAGGGAUGUCCUCUAAUGAAUCAACAAUCUUCCUGCCAUGACAAUGCCGGAAGAGAGAUGAGUGUCCUACAUAUUUAUCAAAAAUGUUCAUGUUAUAAUUGGUAGGCAUUCACUCUGCCAACGUGCAUGAACAUUUCCGGAGAUGAAACAUUCGUGAGGAGCCAGUAAAGACAUCCUGCUAUUUAAACCGGCAAAGGGAUAUCAAGCUUGCUCUAUUGGCAAGUAUAUUGUCGUCAGAUCAGCCUAAUUAAUCCGAUAUUUUUUCAUACAAAAAAUCGUCAUCGAGGCCAACUUAAUCCAAAAUGCCAAUGGACAGGCUUUGGUAAGCUAGUGGAUAGGUAUGCCGCUUUAUCUUAUGUCGUGCUAUCUCACGAGAGAUGGUGCUGCGUUCUCUUUAGAAUGCACAUGACUUGGGAUAGGAAAACCUUAGGAUCCGACUAGGAGGAAGGAAAAAAGCAAUCUAUUGUCGGGCCAAUACAAGAUCAUUUCAUGUCAAACUCCGCAGUCUUGAGGCCAUGGAAUCUACGACAAACUUGCUCAUUCACAAGGACUGAGCAAAUAAAUGAUAAAAUAAGAGCAAUAGUCGUCAUUGAUCGUCUACCCUUUGAUUGAUUGGAUUCUAAAUAUUUUAUUUUCAAUUGGGGUCUAAAUAUUUUAUUUGAUUCAAUUGACUUCUAAACAUUUCCAAUUUUAGUCAAUCAAGUCCCUCGAAUAUUAACCGCGGAAAGAGGCACAUGGCUGUGAUUUUACAAGUGGCUAAGGAGAUGCUUGAGGAGAAAACCUGUUAGGAGAGGCGAAACCAUUCCAGCAGAACUCUCAAGAAGCCAAUUUUUCAGACAGUUUCUCAAUCAUCACAUAGAAAAGUACCAGGAUUUCAUUACCCAUUUCACUUAUUUCUGCUAUAAAACUCACGAGUAUCGAAGUAUAUCAGGCAUAGUUUAUUUGUACUCCAGCAGAACAACUAAAAAGGCACAGAUAAUGCUCUCCUCUAGCUGAAACUCCCACUUUUCCUCUCUGUGUGAUCAGCUUUGCCAGCAACAAUUUCCAACUACCCAAAUUGAUGUUGAAAUUUAAUCAAAUAGACUCAGAGAAGAAAACCCGCAAGAGAAUUGUUGCUGUAACUUUCGUUAAGAAAACCCACACGAGAAUUGUUGCUGUAACUUUCGUUAUUUUAUUCAUCAGAACAUAAGCCUAUUAAAUAGGCAGAACAUCCAAACCACUUAGCAAGAAAAUAGCUAUAGAACAACAACAACAAAGACCCACUAACAUACCCCACUAACCAGAACAUAUGCAGAAACUAACUCCUAAAAACAAGCCACUUCCUAUUGACUAGGACUCCACUAUUACAUUAUUGAAGACACAUAAAAACAAAGUUAACUACUUCAACAAUUGAUGGUGUCACUUCAAGGAGUUCUCAAUGUCGAUCACGAAUCGAUACUUAACAUCUCUCUUGAUGAGCCUCUCCAGAGCUUCGUUGGCAUAAUCGAUCGGUAUCACUUCGAUGUUUGGGUAUAUCUUCUGUGCUGCACACAGGUCUAUCAUUUCUUGGGUAUCCUUUGUUCCUCCCGUUACGCUACCUGAAACAGUUCUCAUAUCUGCCAAAAGUUCACCGCAAGCAACUUAGUUCACCUAUCAGGUAUAAAAUUUCAUUUAGUAAUCAGAUUUGAGAACAAAAACAUACUGAGGUUAAGGCUGGCUGGACUGAAUUUAACUUCGCUCAGGAAGCCGACCAAUGCUAGAAUGCCACCCGUCUUCAAAAGAGACAUGUAAGGAUCAAAUGGGUGAUCACCGGCUGCCGUGUCGAUUAUAAAGUCCAGGGACUUAGCAAUGGCCUGCAUGCAUUGGAUUUAUCAGAUCACAACAGAAUUUGACCACCAUGGAUCUCAAUGUGGAUAAUUCUAGUUUUUCCUCUUUUUACCUUCAUCUGCUCUAGGUCAGAUGAGAUAACGAAAUGGUCAGCCCCAAGCAGGCUCAGUGCUUCCUCCUUUUUAGAAAUGCUUGUACUGAACACUGUGACUUUCAGUCCAAAAGCCUUCCCAAACUUAACUGCCAUAUGACCGAGCCCGCCAAGUCCAAUUACACCUAGAGACUUACCAGGUUGGUUCAUCUUGUGACGUAUCAUUGGAGUGUACACCGUGAUUCCAGCACAGAGCAAUGGCGCUGCUAGAUCCAUCGGGUAGUUUUCUGGAAUCCUGAAGCAAUACCUGUCAAUGAAGCACCACAAUUAAGUUUCCAAAUAACACCAAGAGAGGAAGUGAUUUCCCAAUAGAAUCAGCAUCUUGUCUUUGUUGUCUAAAAGGAAUCAAAUCACAGAGCCAGAAAUCCUAUCUUCUGCAUGCUUGGGAAUUUUACUUGCUUAGACCACAAUUCAGCAUCAUGUUGUUUCUGUGAUCCUUGUUCUGACCACAAAUUGCUCUAGACAAACAUUUCUUGCUGUAGCAAUGUAAAUAAAGCAAUUGCAGAAUACAGGAGGCCACACUCGAUUAAAAUUAAGAAAAGACACUUGCUCUAAGAAAGGAAACUGGUGGCAUAUCACAUAUGCUUGACUGAACACGUAAUUUCUCUAUUUCCUUCAAUCAAUUUCUCCAAGGGACACAAGAUUCCUGUGGCUCUAUCAGAUACAAGAAUUAGUGAAAGCACAUACAUUUAGCUACCCAUUUGAUCUGAUACUUAUGAUCUAACUCUAACAAUCUAAGGACAGCUUAUUCCAUUCCUGACAAUGGUUAUUGAAAAGAAAGAAUUUCUUUUUGCAUUUAAUAAAGCCAAUUCUCCAUUGAAUGGUUUGAAUGGUAAUUAGAUACAAAGGACUUAAAGACUCUCCAGAGCCGUUAUAGAAAGUAUCUUUAUCCCUUUCCACAAGAUGCAAUUAAUACCUAAAAGCCAUUCCUCACAGUCCUAUGCAUUAUGCCACUUCUGGUCACAAUCAGAAAUUCAGAAUACAAAGAAAAUUAGCAGAGAAGAAGACAUGACAUGAAAUCUUUUUUUGGCCACCAUGAUUUGGAAUUCUGUCACAGUGCAAAAUGCUGCCUAAUAACGCUGUGUCAAUAAGCAAUUACCUUUCAUGGAUGACAAUGUGACUAGAAUAUCCUCCCUUUGUGACUGUACCGUCCGCAUCGAUUCCAUCAAAAGUCAAAACCGCCUUUUCACAUUGGGUUUCUAGCCUGUCAUUGCAAUACUCACACUCUCUGCAUGAAUUGACAUAAGUUCCCACCCCCACAUGAUCGCCAACUUUGAAGCGUUGGACACUGGAGCCAACCUGUUUCACAAUUCCAACUAUCUCGUGCCUGAAUCAAUCAAAAAAAUCAUUUGCAAAUUUUGUUCAGAGAAUUAUGAGGAUGGUGCUAAGAAAAAAAGAUUAACAUUUGAAUCACGCUGCAUCCUACCCUGGCACCAGAGGAUACUUGGAGUGUCCUUGCACAUUCCUAGUCCAAGCCACAUCUGCAUAGCACACUCCACAGUGCGUGAUCUUAAUCGAGACGUCUUCGCUUCCCACGGCCCUAAAGAGAUGAUUCCCAAACAGGUGAGCAUAUAAUCCAGUGACUAAUCAGACUAGGGUACCUUUUUUUUUCCAUUUUCAAGAUCAACAAACUAAGCUUGACCUACGAUUAUCGAGAAAACAAGAAACCAGAAAUGAGAAAAGGAAAAAUUCCAUGACUGCAAGCAUAUUUGUCCAUACGCUAGAUACAACCUCAAAUGCUCAGAAAGGCAGCCAGUACAGGAUCCUCAUGUCUGCCAUGAAAUUCUGAGUAACCCAUUACCAACAAUUCUCGACCCAGAAUUCAGCGCAUACACAACAAAAGAAAGAACGAAAAAAUGAAAUGGUCUGGACCGAAAACUGUCUCGCGUGAACACUGUACUGAGACUCUCGCAUGAACACUUUCGGUAGAAAUCGAAAAAGAAAAAAAAAUGGCAAUACCUGCGGGUGAAUUUGUAGGGGGAGAGGAACCCAGAAGGGUCCCGGGCAGCCCAACCGAGGCAAUCCUCCUUCCCACCCUCCGAGCUCAUCUUCUGUACCUACACACCCAGCGAAGCAAUCACACAAAUGGGUACGGUUAGAUUCAUCCAAAGGAGAAGAAGAAAGGGUGAGAACUCGAACGAGAAAGUGCCCAAGAUCAGAGACUCAACGGGUCAUCACUCGGCGAGGACUCGAGUCACAACGAGCUCGCCAUCACUCACCAACUCACUCACUCACCCACACCCACCUACCCAAACACAACCCCACGGGCCACAGCAACUCAGAGAGAGAGAGAGAGAGAGAGAGAGAUGACUACGGAGAUGGAGAUGAAGAGAGGUUACGCUGUGGAGUAUGCAGGAGCGCGAAGAGGGUGACGAGCCGAGCACAGUCGAGGACGGGAGGUUCAACGAAGACUUUUUUGCCCCCUCCUACUUCGCAGGAAAGCUGCGAGUAAUCCGAUGGAUUUUAUAGCGUUGGCCCGAGAUAGUUACGAAAAUAUUGGAAGGAAAAAUUAUCCGAAACUUUAACUCAACAUGUACCGUGAUCUAUAAGGAAAAAUAUAGUAUAUAGAAAUGAAAGAUGAGUAGAAAAAGAAAUGGACGAUUGCUGUCAAAUUAAAACUAUUCCCAAGUCAACUUGUCGGUCCCUUUCCUUCCAUUAUAAUCCUUUUUUAUAAUGUAACUGAAGAUUACUGGCUUUGUCACAACCAACGUAAACCCUCCAAAAGGUAAAAGAACUUAUGCAAAAGUAUAAAAAUGAAAGAUGUGUUGAAAAAAUGAGGACAAUAACCAAACGCGUGCAACUCAAUUGCACUUUUCGAUAAGGAUAAACUGUACCUCUCCUCAUCAUUGAAAGAGAUGGGAUUAAAUGCCUCUCCUCAUCAUUGAAAGAGAUGGGAUUAAAUGCAGACGUGAUUGACAUAGAGAUUAUCACAAGAAAUUAAAUAAAAAUAAGUCUUUCUUGGUAACGAGAUGUUUGUUCUCGUGACCGUGUAGGUCUUUCUAGGUUCUCUGACGCGUGCCAUGAGGUCAUGGCAUGUUAUGCAACCAAAUAUAUCCAUUCUAUAUUUCUAUGGUAACUAUCCAUCGUUACCUCCUGUGAACCUAAGAAGAACAAAACCAAUCCAUAAAGCUGUGGAGGAUCAAGAACAACCUGCCAUAAGUUAUUGAUGAACUCAGUUAAUUGUUCGAAGCCUUAGAAGCGAAUCAUUAAAACUUUAAGCAACUAAAAUGUCAGAUGCCAAACAGAAGGAAAAUCUACAGAGCCAACAUCUGGAUCGGAUCAAUGAUGGCAUAUCAACAACUAAGGGAAAAAUCUGCUACUAAAUAUUUAUCUGAAACUAGAGGAUGACGUUGCACUUGCAUAACUCCGUUAACGCAGAUCAAUGGUCAUGCUCUGUCUAGCUUUGUUAGAAGUUUGAAAACUCUACACGGACAGGCACUAUUUGCAAGAAGACGUGUUCCCUAUGCUCAUCUUUGUACUGAGCUGGAAAUGCUUUUAGCAGAUAGCUGUGCCUCCAGAAACAAAUCGCAUGAAGUGGCCCACAAUUCUCUGGCAAGUCCGGUGUCGUACGAAACUGAAGAAGAGUUGAUAGUCCGGCCCCUCCCACCAAAGAAAUACACACCAGAAAUUUCCUAUUUUUGCAAGACAGCGGCUAUUAGUAAGCACUGUUCCAACAUAUAAUAGCAGCCACAUAAGAUUGAUACCAUAGAUUAUCAGCAGAGAAGGGAAAAUCAAUUCUGGAAACAUACUGUCAUACCGUAGAAUCAACAUUAAUGGAUUUUACGUCCAAUGUUAGUGUGACCUCAGUUGAGGAUAAAACGAGAGAGACUCAUUCAAGAUGGUUCAGAUAAGUGAAGCACCAGUACAGGAAUGCUUUACACCAGCCUAUUUAGUGGGAAAAGAUCACUAUCACCCAUAAAUGCAGCUGUGGUUGCCUAUUGAGAUGAAACCCAGGUGAUUUCAUUGCAGUCCCAUCUAGCAUAUAGCAGAAAUUAAAGAUAAUGAUUGCAGUCAGAAAAACUCACAGGAGGGGCAAGGGCUGCAUCCAGAACUGAGUUGACCGCACCUUCAGGUGAAUCCAAAAGACCCAUUGCAGUUAAAAAUGCAAAAGCUGUGUAGGACAGGUAAGGGGGAACUUCUCGCAUGAUACUGGUUUUCACUACUCCAGGAUCCACAGCACUGGAAAUAAAAAAGAAACAGGAUAACAUCUCAAUUGUGCUGCCAGCAUGUAUUCAUACACAAAACUUUAGAGAAAGACAAUCUACAAAGCCUAAGUACAUUUUCUUGUUUAUAAUCAACUAGUAUAGUAUCUCUGAUAACAAAAACCAGGUUUUCAACUAAAAAGGGAUAGCUCAUAGAUUUGUGGAAAGUGGUAAGUGGAAAGUUCAAAUUCAACUACCAUACAAACUUAAGGGUGAGAUUACACUGUCCUACAAGAAUGCUUAAAUCCAGAGUGGCAGGAUUGUUGAUACAUACAGAAUGGAAACAUGACAGGAGCUUUCCAAGCGAAGGCGUCGAUGAAGUUCAUAUGAGAACAGCAGAAGGCAUACUGUAAACAAACAGGAAACUCUUACUAAAGUUUGUGAGAAGAUGUGACAUUUGCUUCUCAAAUAUUGCUGUAUCUUUUAUUCUAUCCUUUCCUUUUUGGUGCUAGGCUUCUCGAAUAAAACAUGAAACUUACAUUUUGAAUAACCAUAGAUCUGUGCACAUGGAUACUGUUUCAUCCUGAAGGAACUCUUCCCAAUAACACUUUCCUUGUCAAAUGUCGCACCACAUACUGAAGAAGAGGAGAACCGAGGAAAAGGAGAUUUUAAAUAAAUAAAUAAAAACUAUGACUCUAAACCUAGUAUAACAAUUGCACUAAAACAGAAACUGCACAGAGAAGUUGGACAGCAAGAAACUACAAGCAAACAAUACCAACUAUUUGACAUCAUAAAAGAGUUCUGUAACUUAGACAUUGAGUACAGCUAUAUUGCAUGUUCUAGUUUUAGCUUGCUAUCUCAGGCACUGUUAAAGUCCUAGAUGGGCACCAUAUUUAGUUCACUAAUUGAAUGAAAAAAUGACAUGCCAUAAGGGUCAGCAAGCCCGGGUUUCACAGAGGAACCUCCUUGCAGGCUGGCCACCGGCUGCAAUCAGUGUUCCACAGAUAAAUGGAAGUGUUUCUGACCACAAAGUGAAAAUAUCUUACCGCUUCGAUGUGUAAAGGACGUGACAUUGACUAUCCGGGAUGGAACAGGGCUGUUUCUGAGAAGUGGUAAUAAAUGCUUUGUCAAAAAGAAUGGUCCCAUGUAGUUCGUUGCCAUCAUCCUGGUGCAUAAAGAGGUGGAGAGAAGAAUCAACAGGAGAUCAGGCAACAAUGCAUUAUGAAAGACUGCAAUUAAUAAAUUCCAUUCCAAAAAGAGAAAAGCAAAACAGUGGGAGAUGCCACUUGCUACCGUGGCAACAAAUCUCCACAAGUAAACUACAAGUUGACAAGGUAUAUAGGAAAAUCAAAAUCACUAGAACAUUAGACUUUCAAUUGGGAAAGUGACGACACUAUUAUCGUUACUUAUUUAGAAAUUAGAACAUAUGCAUCUCAUUAGUUAAAUCUAAAACAACAGAAUAUAUAUUCUCCACUGUGACUGCUGUAGUGUUUAGAUUGCCAAAUAUUUGGAUCUUUGGAAAGAAUAUUGCAAAAAAAUUCCCAUGGCAAUAAGAUAAUUACUCAUCGAAGCCUUCAGCUGUAAUUCUGUAGGAUGUUGCCAACAUUCCAGCAUUAUUUAUCAGAAGCUGGACUGAGGCAUGCAUAUUUGAUUCCAACAGCCAUUGCUCAAGGGAGCAUCUGAAGUGUAAGAUUGACUCGAUAGAUGAUAUAUCAGCUUGAAAAGCUUUAAGAUGGGCAUCCUUAUUGUGUUUACAAAUCUCUGCCACUCUCUGUGACCCAAAAAAAAAAAAAGAAUCAUUGAGAGCAUCAUGUAGAGCAAAGAAGCUAAAACGGAUGCCGCACAACAAGUACCUCUGACAACCUGUGAGCAGACCGUCCAACUGCAGAGAAAGCAUAAAUUUCAGUUAAAUAAUUGUACCUGCAUGGAUCAAAACUCAUUCUUCUUGUAACAAAGAAAAGAUGCAUUUUGCAUUAACUCUAAGGACAACAAACAGUCAUUCGUACAUUAUUUGUCACAUUAAGCAAUUGACAAGCUUUUCUCUUUGCUUGAAUCACCAAGUAAAGACCAGAGAACAUUCAUAUAUCUACCCAUAACUCUUCCUAUGAGAGUGUUCAUCACAGACUGGUGGCAUUUAUGUAGACAGCCUAUUUUUUUUUCCUCCUAAUGUAGCUAUCAUCAGGAUGAUCCAGCACAAGCAAUCACAGAAAAUCCAGGCAUGGGGUUGAACUAAGUGUUGCUACAUCCAUAUCAAAGGAAUGAGGAGGAUAAACCACAGACUGCGACAUUACCAAGGACAACAACGAAACCUUCUUUUGAAAGAGCAUAAGCAGCCGCUGCACCCAAACCAGAUGUAGCCUGCAGGCAAAAGGCAGAGAAAGCUCUCAGUAGGAUAAUCUAAUUGAGGACAUUUGCUACUAGCAAAAGAAAUCCGUCUUACGCCGGUGAUAAUGCAGAGAGGUCUCAGAGGAACUUCUAUGUUGGCAUUUCGAGGGUAUGAAACAAUUCGACCAAAAAGACCACGGCUGAAGAAUUGCCAGUAUGAGGCCAGCAAAGAGAACGUCCAAAGUACUGCCAUUAUCCAGAAGUCUACUGUACAAAUGAAACAAAAAGCCUCGACCAACUCCUUUGACAUUAUUCUCAUCUUUGCCACCAUGGACUUCUUACCUGUGUUGGCAAAGUGAAAACAACAAAACAAAUUCAGGAUACUAAUAAAUCCAACAGAAAAGUAUAUGCGCACGGUAAAGUCCUAAAGUUUAUUGGAUUAGGUAGUGGAACUCGAAUUUAAAUCAAGUGAAUGUCACAAUUAAGUACUGGAGAGACCCAAUCUACGGAGAAAACACGCACCCUUACAUGACCAGUGCAGCAAAAUGAGUGCCUUGUUAUUUGACAGUCAGAGUUGAGACCUCAGUGUUCAGUCUACAGGAAAAGUUUUAGCAACCUCGAGAGAGGUAAGAACUAGGCAGAUCUCACUAUGCAACCAUAAAUCAACUAACUUCAGGUGUACUUUCAAACAAAUUCUUUGACCAAGCAUCUGAGGGAAAUCAACAAUACAGAGUUCAACAUUCUAGUUCGUAAAUACUUUGGCCUUUUCAUUGUCAUGUAUGAAUGACGGUUUCCCUAUUGUUUAGAAUGUACAGCUUUGAAGUGUCUUAAUGCCACCUUGUCUUCCCACCACAGCAAACACAGACCCAGGUAAAGGAAUCAAAUGUUAAAUCCAGUCUUAAUAAAUUUACACAUCACAACACACAACCCAGUGAGCUUACUUCAUCGGUUAGAGUCACCAUGCUCACCCAGAGUAACAAGCACACCAUCAAAAGUAAGAUUAACAGAGAUAGCAAAUGAUAUAGCUUGUUUCAAAAUGAAAUUCUGUUCAUUUCCAAGCUCCAGACUUUCCACAUCAAAGCUUGACGUCUACUCACCCUAAACAGACGCAGCUAUAAAAUUAUCAUCUACCAGCAGAACUCGUGAAAUUCCACACAAUUCAAACGGGCCUACACGCACGUCACCGACCUAGACACGUUCCCUAUUAAACAUUAAACAAUCACCACCCCAAAUCAUCUCCAAGCUCAACGUCCUCACCAUGCAACAGCUCCAGAGCUCCAAAAAGACCCAACAAGUUUUUCGCCAACCUUCACGUCAACUCAAGCUCCCCCGCUCACUUCCUCCCUGACAAUACACACCCCCCACGAAGCGCGCUCUAAGAAGCAUUACGUCAAACACAUUGGGGACAUCGAAACUCCGGGCAGAGUUCUCCCACGAACCCAACGCAAAUGGGCAUCCACGAAAACAGGAACUUGCAGAGAGGCGAACGCGGGCGCUCGUGCAGAUCACUGUAAAGCUAUUGCAACGAAACGUGAAGGGUUGCGCCGGAAACGAAAGGGCGACUCACGGGGAACGUGAAAGGGUCGAAGGAACGAAGGAAGGCGAGAGCAGAGACGGGUCGCCUCGACUCGACACGGUUCUCGUCGAAACCAGGAGAGUCUUGAGAUUGACUGGAGGAAAAAUCCGAGCUUUACAAAAAGUUAGAUGCAGGAUGAGACGAACAUCCGGUUCUUCAACCCGAGUAAAAGCGUUGACACUAAGGGCAAACUUUUCCUUGCAUAUUAGGGAGAAUUAAGUGGGAAAUUUUCGUUUAUCGAAUUCGCCAACAUGUUUUCCAAAAAAAAAAAAAAGGAAAAAAAGAAAUCACUAACGUAAUUUCAUUCACUAUCACCCCUUUUGAAAAAUCAAAUCCAUGCAUGGGACCGAUUAAAUUUCAUUCGUCAAUCAGUACUCUUUUGUAUGAGAACUUGAAGAAAGAAUGACUCGCAAAAUACAUAAAAAAAAAUGGAACAUCACAAGAUAUGCAAAAAUUACUGUAAAAGAAUCAUAGAUUACAUGUUCUAACAAAAAGGAAUCAUUUAUUGCAUUUGUGUGAUGUAAACUAUACUGGAAUUAUUUCUUGUAAAUCUUGAGAGUGGUAGUAAUUGUGUCAACAUUUGGAAUCCUAUUAGGGAUAAAUAUAUUGAAAAUAUUAAAAUUUGUCACGAAGUUACAAUUUAACCCUAAAAUUUGACCAAAAAAAAAAUUCCAAUCAAAUUCUAAAAUUUGUUACAAAGUGUAAUUGAAUUUUUAAAACUUUUAAAAAGUACAUUCAAGUUCUAAAUUUUAUUAACAUUUUUCGUUUGUCAAAUUUGAUGGAGUUUAGGAAAAUACUUGAUUAUAUUAACUUGUCAAGUUGGCUUGGGCCAAGUUUGGCAUACCUAUAGUCCGUCGGAUCCAUGUUAAGGUCUACUAGCUUUGACCCUCCCUAGCUUUUGGGCUGGAUUGGGUCGCUGCGCCCAGCCCUUGCAGGAUCUCUCUCUCUCUCUCUCUCAACUUUCCCUAUGUGUUUUUUGGUUACUUUAACAUUUUUAUUUGUCUUUUGAAUUAAUGAUCUCACGUGGCAUGGUUCAAAUUACUGGGGUGUCAGAACCAAAACCAAAACUAAAAUCUAACCGAAAUUUCAUGCAUUUUUUAUUUGAUUUGGUUUUGGUUAGGAUAAUAGAAAGAUAACGGUUAUUUGUUUUCGAUUUGGUGAAUCGAACUGAAAUCCUUAAUACAAAUAAAUGCACAACUUAAAAUCCCUCCUUUUUCUCAUCUCUUAUUCUAUUUGAUUCCAAUGAGAAGGUAAAAAUCAAAAAACCAAAAACUGAAAACUGAAUUGAAAAUAAUCCAAUCGGAUUUUUAGUUCAGUUUGUAUUUGAUUCAGAUCGCAACUUGGUUUGCUUUAAUUACUUAUCUUAUCAGUUCGGUUUGGUUCGGACUUUAGGACAUUCGAACUAAAUCGAAACGUUGACGCCCCAUUAGCCACAUAGAUGAAGUCAUGUCUAUAAUUCAACAACGUUAAUUAUGAUGGUUGACGACAGAGUCAGCAAGAUGCAAAAGAUAUAGAAAUACAUCAAAAGAAGGAAAAAAUAGUUAGAGGACCCAAUCGCAGGAACAUCAGUACUAUAUCGAGAACAAAAAAUUGCUAUGAACUAAAUCAUACAUUAAAAGUAGGAAACAAGGAGAACUAACACGACCGUUAAUAGCAGCAUUGACAUCUAUGUCCAUGGAGAAUUUUUCUUACGCAACUACCACAGGUGGAUCCCAGCUAAUUUGCUGUCUAUCUAAUCCCGGGUGAAAACGGUCGGGCCUUGGUUCGGAGCCGUCGAGGACACACGACCAUCCUCAACGCUCCAAGCUCGUCCUCCUCCGGCGCAGUGGCUCGGCCUCAUAUCCUCUAAGCUUCACGGCUUUGUAAGUCACGGCGCCAGCUAUGGCUCCGAGCGGAGGAGCCACCAUGUACAUCCACAAUCCUUUGUAGUUCCCUGCGGCCACGGCCGGGCCGAGAGUCCUCACGGGGUUCAGGGAACCUCCGGUCGGCAUCCUGCAUUUCCCGGGAACAUUGUUAAGGAACAUUAUGAAAGCUAAAAUUCUGUAACAACGCGUCCAUACUUGCACGCCCGAAGGUGAGUAGUUUCAGUACAAUGCUUACCCUGUCACAAGAACGCCAAGCAGCACCGUUGCUCCGAUUGCAAUACCUGCCAAAUCUCCUACCUAUCAUCAGAAAAAAGGAACAAAUGUAAGUGAAAUGGAUACAUGCUGUAUACAGAUGCCACGAGUACAGAUAGAGGAAGAGUCGAUAUGCAGCAUGGCGACGUACUGCACGAGUGUCGGUCACCACCGCGACGAUCACGAACGCGAGAAUGAAAGUGGCGAGAAACUCGAGAGCAAACGCCUGUCCGAUGUCCACCGAAGGCACCGUGACGCCGCCGUUGGCAAAGGGAUGGAAAACGCCCUUGAGGACGUAGGAAGCACACAUCGAGCCCGCAACCUGCGCCGCGAUGUAGCCAGGCACCUGGAUCCAUGGAAAGUGCCAGAUCACCGCGAGGGCGACUGUCACCGACGGGUUCAGGUGGGCUCCUGAAAUGUGACCGAUCGAGAAAACUAUGAUCAUCACGGCGAGCCCAGCGCAUGCCGCGUUCCCAAGCAACGUCUCUGCUCCGUUGUACUUUUGGUUCACAAUGGGCCCGCCCACCGCGCAAAGUACUAAGAAGAAGGUUCCAACGAACUCUGCUCCGACCUGCAUCGUUCAUGUAAAUCUAAAUAAGAAAAUCUAUCCUAUCUUUCUUUCUUGGUUUCACUCGCUAUGAAAAGGCAUAAGAAUUAUCAGUUUAUGCUGCAACAGCUAGCGAGCCUGUCUAAUCUUUACUGAUCUUUGAGGUCGAUUGGGCUUUACCUUCCGCAACGAAUCAUACUUAUCCGGCUGGAGACGCCGAACACCUUCCGUUGCACCGUCACUCGGCGCACACCACUUGCACUGUACCACGGACCCGUCCUCCGGCAACGAUGAGUCCACUUGCAACGUCACAGAUGCCGGUUGGCACAUCUUCUCUUGCCUGGACAGCUCGAUGGAGAUUAAGGGAGACCAGAGGUCGCGAAUAAAGGAUCAAGAGAUCGAUGAGAAGAGAGAUCAAGACGAGAGGGAGCCUUCAGUCUGUUGCCUCCGUCUAUGAUAGUUGAUUGCAGCGACCCCAAAAGCAUUUUAUAGGAGAGAAGACAACGGCUUUAACAUCGCCAACAUCAUCUUCUUGUUCACUAGUUCGGCUUGUUGACUCGCUCCAUAGGAUUCGGUCAUUCAUAGUAGUUCGGACUGUCUGCACCUUGACUAGAUCUAGGGUUACUCUAUACAAGUAAUGAUUUGACUCGGUUUGGCAUGCUCAGAAAAACUUGGAGGGCACGUUUCUAUUUCUGAAAUUUAGGUGUGCAAGUCUACAUUUGUGGACCAGAUAUUGAAUAUUUAAGACCGAUUCUAUAAAGAGAAGAUCCAUCAAAACGUAUUUUCUUUUUUUUGUUUGGGGGGGAAGAGUUAAGGGCUGCGUUUGUUUUGAUUUCUUUUUUCUGUUUUUAAACAAUUUUUUUUGUUUUUUUGUUCCUGGGAACAAAAAAGGAACAGAAACGCGUUUGUUUGCAUUUUUAUUCCAAAAUUAUUUUUUUGUUCCCAGAAACACAUCUGGAACAAAAACAAGAAACAAAAAAAAAAGUUGUUUCUUGUUUCUGGAACAAAAUUUAGGAACACUUUCUUCUUCUCUCUUUUUUCUUCUUCUUUUCUUCUUCUUUUUUCUUUCUUUUUUCUUUGGCCGGUCGCCGGCCUCAACAAUUGAACCUUCUCAAACUGUUUCUUCUUAAGAACCAAAAAUAUUUGUGCCAAAAUAACAGAUGCCAAGAAGAACAAAAGGCCUUGGACACGGAAUGGAUCUUGAAGUACUAUUUCCGCAUCUCCUUGACCAAAUCCACCCACAUUAGGAUUACUCGUUAAUGGCUGAUCAAGUUUGAUAGAUUCGCCUUCGGAAACAAGAAGUUCUGGCCCUGGUGGAAUAAUAUCAACCACUUGACGUUCAUCUGACGCAUCCGAUAUGGUUAUUUCGUACCCCCCUUUUUCUUUUCGUAUGAUUUUACUUACUACACCAGCCGCUGUAGCAUUAUAAACUGUAUUGUUACUCUUGCUCCCAUCGGGAUAAAUCUGACCCAUUCCUCUGUUCCCGCCUACAUAUAUGGGAUAUUUUAAGAAGUGAACAUCUUUAUUAGUAGCGGGGUCCGGGGAAAGAAUAGGAAAGGUGACUUCACUAUAUUUCUGACCAGAAACAGGACCUAUCACAAGAAUAUUUUUUUUAUUGGGGCGAUAGCUCUGAAAAGACAGAUUGCCUAUCUUUUCUUUCAUCUCGGGCGAAAUACGAUCGGGAGGUGCUAAUUCAAAUCCCUCAGGUAAAAUAAGAACAGCCCCCACAUUCAAACCUCCCAUUUUACCAUUAGCAAGAACUUGUUUAACUUGCAUAUCAUAAGGAAUUCGAACAACUGCUUCAAAUACAGUAUCAGGAAGUACCGCUUGCGGAACCUCAAUAUCCACGGGCUUAUUAGCUAAAUGGCAAUUGGCACAUACAAUACGUCCGGUCGCUUCUCGUGGAUUUUCAUAACCCUGUUGUGCAAAAAUGGGAUAUGCAUUUGAAAUGGAUGUCCGAGCUAUGAUAUAUAUCAUCAGCGAUACGGAAAUAGAUCGAAUAAUCUCUUUCUUUAUCCAAGAAAAGGUGUUUUUAGUUUGCAUGGUCCAAUCAUUGAUCCCGAAAAUUUCUACAAUAAAAUUAGGUAGGUCGCUUGUAUAGUUCCCUAUCCACAAUUCUGCUAUUUACUUUAUUGAAAUCAUUUUACUGGAAUAUAAGGAGUAGGAGAAAUCCCUGUAGGGUAGAAAGAGUAAGUACGUCUUAAAAUGGAAAUGCUUUGCUUAUGUACCUUAUGUUACAAAGUAACAAAUAUUCUAGUUAGAUCAGUCAUUCAUUGAAUGAUAAAUCACUACAAGUGAUGGAGAUAUACGAUUUAAAUAGCGGAAGAUCCAAUAUUUAAAAAUUGUAUCCAGAAUGACUGGAAAAGUAGAAACAAGACCCGAUAUAAUUUGAUCGUUGUGAGCAAAUCCAAAAUCUUUGUAGACAUAGCCAAUCAUUAGUUCCCAACCAUGGGGCGAAUGGAAUCCGAUACAUAAAUCAGUUAAUAAAAGAAUAGAAAAAGCUUUUAUUGUGUCACUUAAGUUAUAUAGGAAUUCUUGAACCCAAGAGUUAAGAAUAGCAAGUUCUUCAUUACCCAGAAUAGAAUAACCACUUAAAAUAAUGAAAGAGGUUAUAUUUGUCGAUAAGUGAAAAAUCAUAUGGAUAUGAUCCUCAUUGUGCAUCUUGAUCAAUUGGAUCGUUUCUUUGUGGAUUCCUAUACGAAGUGUUUGUAGAUGUGUUUCCGGGUAUUCUUUUAUCAUUUCGUCCAAGAGUAAGAGUUCUUCCAAUUCGAUGAAUUUUUCUAGAAUACUCUUUUCUUGAAUAUCAGUCAAAAAAGUUUCGGAUUGCCUAGUAUUCCACCAAUUAGUAAUCCAAAAUUCAAGACUUUUAUUAAAUGAGAGAGAGAUCCACCAGGGCAAAAAUACUAUAGAUGUAAGAUAUAGAAGAGGAAGAAAUGCUUUCUUUUUUACCAUUUUUUCAUCUUUGAAUUGUUAAUGAAUCCACCUCAUUUGUUGAAUCUAUGUGAUCUACUAUUUCUAUUAACCCUAAGUUCUAUUACAGGGCAUCGGGCCUCGGCCAUGGCCGGCGACCGGCAGUCGAGGGCCGGUGAGGCCGAGCGUCGCCGGCCCUUGGUGAGGCCGACCUCGCGCCGAGCUAGGCGAGCUCGGCCUCGCCGGGCCACUGCCAGGUCGGCAUCGCCUGGCAGUGGCCCGGCGACGCCGAGCCUCGCCAGCCACUGAUUGUCACUUGCUUUUAGUCAUGCAUUCAAAACUGUAAGAUUCAUGCACUAUAAGAUAACCAGACAAGCGAAAAAAUGAUGUGCAUUUCAGUUGAGGUGGCAAGACCAAUUAGAUUGAAUUCAAACCAAAUAAAGCUUGACGCAUAAAAGAGAAAUGUUGUGCAUUGAGCGAAUAUAUGACAAAAUAAGUGCAAAGAGAGUCAUUGAUGUUCUAGCACUUUGGCCAAUUGAGUUCUUAAAAUUUUACUUUGCUUAAUUGAAUCCUUAGCAUUUUCAAUUUUAAUCAAUUGAGUCCCUCAAGCUUGAUCCUCGGAAAUAGCCACAUGGCUAUGAUUUUCCAAGUUGAUAAGAAGAUGCUCGACAAUAAAACCAGGUGAGCCUCUCAAGGGCUUCAUUGGCAUAAUCAUCAGUAUCACUUCGAUUUUUGGGUAUACGUGCUACACCGCACAGAGGUCUAUCAUUUCUUGGAUAUACUUCAUACCUCCCGUAGUGCUACCCGAAACGGUUUUCAUACCUGCAAAAAGUUCAUUGUGAGCAACUUACUUUCUUCACCUAUCAGGUAUCAAUAUUUCAUUCAGUAAUGAGCUUUGAGAACAAAAACAUACCGAGGUUAAGGCUUGCUGCAUUGAAUUUAAUUUCGCUUUGGGACCCAACCGAUGCUAGAACGCCACCCGUCUUCAAAAGAGACAUGUAAGGAUCAAAUGGGUGAUCAGCAGAUACCGUGUCAAUUAUAAAGUCCAGGGACUUAGCCAUGGCUUGCAUGUUACGAUUCAUCAGAUCACGGCAGCACUUGACAUCCAUGGAUCUAAAGUAUUAAUAAUUCAAAAUCUUCCCGUUUACCUUCAUAUGUUCUUGGUCAGAUGAGAUAACGAAAUGGUCAGCACCAAGCAAGCUCAGUGCUUCCUCCUUUUUAGAAAUGCUUGUACUGAACACGGCAACUUUCAGUCCAAAAGCCUUCCCAAGCUUAAUUGCCAUCUGACCGAGCCCACCAAGUCCAAUUACGUCGAAAGACUUACCCGGUUGGUUCAUCUUGUGACGCACCAUUUGAAUGUAUACUGUGAUUCCAUCACAGGGCAAUGGUGCUGCUAAAGCCAACGGGUAGUUUUCUGGAAUCCUAAGGCAAUACCUGUCAAUGAAGCACCACAAUUAAGUUUCCAAAUCAUGUAAUUUUUCUAUUCCCCUCGAUCAUGUCUCUAAGGGACACGAUAUUCCUGUGACUGUUGGAUACAAGAAUCCGUGAAAGCAUAUACAUUUCAUUACCCAUUUGAUCUAACACUUACUAUCUAACUCUUGGGAACAAUCUAAAAAAAGGGAGGAAGCGGAGACAAAAGGCAAGGAUUGAGCAAUUUCCAUCUCUCUCUCUCUCUCUCUCUCUCUCUCUUUUAAUUAAGGGUUAAUAUCCUAAAAAAUCCCAAAUUGGUACACAUGUAACAAAUUUACCUUGACAGACUAUAAAAAACUCUAAACUUAUAUAUUUAUGACAAAUUUACCCCAAACUAAUUUAUUUGACCGCAAAAAAUCUCAAAAUGGUAAAUUUGUAACAAAUAUACCCUUCACUAAAUUGGAUUAAUACCACAAAAAGAUCACAAAAAUUGUAAACCGUGACAAACGGAGCAUGAAAUCUCAAAUUGGUAUUACUAAUCAACUGUCACGUGCCAUUUAACUUAAUAAUUUGACAGUAAAAUUUAAUGAAAACUAAUAGAGGGUAAAUUUGUCACAAGUGUACUAGUUUAGAGUAUAUUUGUCAAAAGUAUACCAGUUUGGAGUUUUUAGUGGUCAAAAAACUAGUUUAGAGUAAAUUUAUCAUAGGUGUACCAGUUUUGAGUUUUUUAGGGUAUUAACCCUUUAAUUAAUUUAGUUUUAAAUUUAAUGUUAUUAAUGUUUCAUGAAAAUUCAUAUGUUAGAUUUAUUGGCUCACAUGUCAUUGUCACUUGAUGUGUAUGAUAUAUAGAAUAGUCCAAGAGUUUUGACUUUAGAUGCUUGGGAACUCGCGAAUGGUCAUACAUUGUCGGUUACACAUUCAAUAUGAUGUAUUAGCUAAUCAUAGUCCUCUAACGGUUUAUAUUUGCUUAAUAUAUUUCAAGAAUAUUCAUUUGUUAGACUUGUCCGCUCACACGCCACUGUCACUCGAUGUAUAUGAUAUGCAGAAUAGUCUAAGAGCUUUGACUUUAGACACUUGGGAGUGUCUAUGCUUGUUUUAUGUCUGUUAUGCUUGCAAUGCUUCUGGUUUUGAGUGGACAGUACAAAUAUUUAAGUCCAUGUCAAUUUGAACAAUUUUCUUUAUUAUAGAGCAACCGUCUUUAAUCUAUUGUGUUCUUGACCACAAAAAACCAAAUAACAAAUAAGUAUUAAUUAUUGUAGGGUCCAACAACAAUCUUUAAUCUAUUGUGUUCUUGACCACAAAAAACCAAUUAACAAAUAAGUAUAAAUUAUUGUAGGGUCCAACAGCAAUCUUUAAUCUAUUGUAUUCUUGACAACAAAAAACUAAAUAAUAAAUAAGUAUACAUUAUUAUAUGGCCCACUCCUUUAAAAAUUUGUUGCUCACAACAACUUAUUUAUUCUCAUAAUAACCCAAAGUUAUGCUAGCAAAGCUCUUUUGAGUAAGUGUAUUGAAAGUUUUAAAAACUUGUCACUAAAGUGCAUUAAGUCCUGAAACUUUCAAAAAAUACAAUUUAAUCCUAAAAUUUGUCACGAAAUGCAAUUGAGUCUUAAAAUUUUCAAAAAGUAAAAUCAAUUAUAAAGAUUUAUCAAUAUUAUAAGGGACAAAACCAAAAGCUGCAUGCAAUAAAUCAGACAAAAUUCAUUAAUUUAUGACCAUCAAGCAAGCGUCAGACAUUAGCAAAUGAAUGUAUUAGCAAUCGAAAAUACAUCGAAAACAAAAAGUUAAAAGCUCAUAUCUACCUUUCAUUCUUAUGCUUUGUAAGCCCCUCUGACCUUAGUGACCGCAAGGAUUUUACUGUGGACUCAAUGAGAUCCAUCUCAAGCUCCACCCUUUCAUGUGUCCAGCACUGAAGCAAAAGGAAAAUCGCAAUAAUGCGAUGAGGAUGAAACUAACCCAUUGAAUUUCUGAGUAAUCCAUCAAGUACAAGUUACCCAUCAUUCGGCCACUAAGCUCCUCCACUAUGGCCCUCAAUUGCUGGAUGCUUACUACGAGCGCUUCAUCCCUUCGUAUGAAGUCAACAUUUCUUUGAUUCACACUUUCUUUGCAUGACAUAUUUUAAACCUACAAGUAAACGUUAGUCACAAAAAUCCUCACCAAUUGCUCCCUCACGUGUUUCUCUCAAUGUGUUUGUCACUCCCCUCGUGUUUAACUCAAAUUUAGGCUUUUUCCCUCUCGUAUUCUCUUUUCACAAGUUCUUUAUUGGACUCAAAAUCAGUCUCUCAGCCCCCUCACGACAAUCAAUCAAAAUAAUCAAACAAGAUUAGAUUACUAUUAAUUUUGUUUCAGCAAGUAACAAUUUCAAACCAACAAGUAUAACUUUCGAAAUUCUAAUUGAAACGCAAAUCACUACUGAUUUUGUUUCAAUUCGGUCCACAGUCGCCUUCUUGAUUUUUUUUUGUUCAGCUUUUUUUUUCUGCUGAAUCUUUUUUUUUUCUCUAGCGCACUUUUUUUUUGUGUGCGUUUUCUUUCUCUUCUUUUUUUUUUUUUACGAACUUUCUUUGUUUUUUUUUCUUUCUUUUUUGACAAACUCAGAUACAAUUUAAGAUGAUAGGAAAAAAAAUAUUAAAACUAACAGCAAACAAUUACGUAUGGAAGCACAAAAGUAAUCAGAUCCCUAAAUUGGCUAGAACCGAAACCCUAACUCAAUAAAUCUCAAAUUGCUGAAUAUAAACAGAAAAUUAAAGAUAAAUAGACAUUGUAGAAGUAAGCUCUGAUACCAAAUGAUGUCAAUCGUUGUGGAAAAAUCAUUCUACGAAGGCCUGGAUGGUGCGAAUUGCAAACCUCGACCUCCAAUCAAACCUGUGAUUGAUAACCUCGAUAUGAACGUGAUCAAACCUACGAUUGAGAACCUCGGUAUGAACGUGACCUAUUGACAAACGCAUGUCAACCAACCAAACCCACGAGCGAAAGAAUAAGGUUAAGUUCUCAAAAAAUAGUAGAAAAGAAUCUCUCAACUUUUUUCAUCCAUAUAUAUAUAUAUAUAUAUAUAUAUAUAUAUAUAUUGACUUGGUCAAAUAUUUGAUGAUCAGAUAAUCAAAUUGUGCAAAGAUUUCUAAGAUUCUUCAAGAUUUAAUCCAAAGCCAUCUCUACGCCGAAGAUCAUGAACCAUGACGCUAACAGCUUACUUGAAUUGCUUGGCUCGUGCUCGAGUAAUUGAACCAGUAGGAAUAGACAAUGGGUCUCUAGCACCACCUCAUCGAUAUGGCUUGAUGUCCACAUCAUAAUGCAUGCGAAGGAACAAGCCGAUUGCCACUUGAUGUUAGUCAUUCAUGCAAAACUGUAAGAUUCAUACGCUAUAAUAUAGCCAAACAAGCAACCAAAAAAAAAAAAUAAAAAAUAAAAAACUAAAAAAAUGAUCUGCGUUGCACUUGAGGUGGCAAGGGCAAUUAGAUUGUAUUGAAACUAAAUGAAGUCCGUUGCAUUAAAAAGACAAUCAAAUGAUGCAUUGAUCAAACCUUCUCUUCCUUCUUCUUUUUCCUCUCCAGGUCUUCCACGCCUUCCGACUUGUUAUCCGGUUGAGACUGCACGACCCACAUCGACUCAUCAAUCUGAUCAUUACAAUCAUAGACUUGCCAUUUCCACAGCUAACCCAAUAACUCAAGCUACAAUCAGACGAGCUUCCACCCAAGAAAACAUACCAUUUCGAUGGUUGGUAAGCGUGAGACUGCAACCAAAGUUCGAUUCCGACAAGAGAAAGCACCGGGACAGAUGGUUGAGCUCCGUUUAGAAGUAGACCCAACAGCCGCCGGCGAACAAGGGUGGCGACCGUGACUUCAAAGAGACGACUUGACGGCGACCGAGCUCGGCGGAGGCGAGGGCGGCGGGACUUGUCAGCAGGGAUUUUUCUGACAGUGUCAGACUGGCACGACUCUGACGUUUUUUUAAUUAACUAAAGAAAGAAAUUCGUAAUACGACGUGGGCAGCCCGCAGGAGGGCGAAAUAAGAGUUUCCUGUUCUUAUUUUAUUUUAUUUUUAGCCUUUUCUGCUUAUUAGCAAAUAAAAUUUAUUAAUUUGACACGAACAUAUAGUGGUGUAUUUCCUACUAGUAAUAUAAAUUUAUAGAUUUUAAGGGAAGACUUGGAUCGUAAUUGUCAUUGGAGAGGAAGUGAAUGAUGAUAUAACAUGAGUUAAUAGACGUAAGUGAAAAAUGUCACAAAAGAAAUCGUGUUCCGAUAUUAAUUUUGUCAAUAUAUUGAAAAGGCAACAGGUUUCGUAUUCUUCUGGACAGAAAUGAAAGGUCAAAGGGAAACGAGAAGGACUGAGCAAAUAAAUGACAAAAUAUGAGCAAUGGAAGUCAUUGAUCGUUUGCCGUUUGACUGAUUGGAUUCUAAAUAUUUUAUUUUCAAUUGGGGUCUAAAUAUUUAUUUGGUCCAAUUGACUUCUAAACAUUUCCAAUUUUAGUCAAUCACGUCCCUCGAAUAUUAUUGUCGGAAAGAGCCACAUGGCUGUGAUUUUCCAAGUGGCCAAGGAGAUGCUUGAGGAGAAAACCUGUAGGAGAGGCGAAGCCAUUCAAGCAGAACUCUCAAGAAGCCAAUUUUUCAGACAGUUUCUCAAUCAUCACAUAGAAAAGUACCAGGAUUUCAUUACCCAUUUCACUUAUUUCUGCUAUAAAACUUACGGGUAUCGAAGUAUAUCAGGCAUAGUUUAUUUGUACUCCAGCAGAGAUAGUAAAAAGGCACAGAUGAUGCUCUCCUCUAGCUGAAACUCCCACUUUUCCUCUCUGUGUGAUCAGCUUUGCCAGCAACAAUUUCCAACUUCCCAAAUUGAUGUUCAAAUUUAAUCAAAUAGACUCAGAGAAGAAAACACACGAGAAUUGUUGCUAUAACUCUUGUUACUUUAUUCAUCAAAACAUCCAAAUCACUUAGCAAGAAAAUAGCUAUAGAACAACAACAACAACAAAGACCCACUGACAUACCCCACCGACCAAACAUGUGGAGAAACUAACUCCUACAAAAAAGCCACUUCCUAUUGACUAGGACUCCACUAUUACAUUAUUGAAGACACGUAAAAACUGUAAGUUAACUACUUCAACAAUUGAUGGUGUCACUUCAAGGAGUUCUCAAUGUCGAUCACGAAUCGAUACUUAACAUCUCUCUUGAUGAGCCUCUCCAGAGCUUCAUUGGCAUAAUCAAUCGGUAUCACUUCAAUAUUUGGGUAUAUCUUCUGCGCUGCACAUAGGUCUAUCAUUUCUUGGGUAUCCUUUGUUCCUCCCGUUAGGCUACCUGAAACAGUUCUCAUAUCUGCCAAACGUUCACCACGAGCAACUUAGUUCACCUAUCAGGUAUGAAAUUUCAUUUAGUAAUCAGAUUUGAGAACAAAAACAUACGGUGGUUAAGGCUGGCUGGACUAAAUUUAACUUCGCUCGAGCCGACCAAUGCUAGAAUGCCACCCGUCUUCAAAACAGACAUGUAAGGAUCAAAUGGGUGAUUGCCGGCUGCCGUGUCGAUUAUAAAGUCUAGGGACUUAGCAAUGGCCUGCGUGCAUUGGAUUUAUCAGAUCACAACAGAAUUUGACCACCAUGGAUCUCAAUGUGGAUAAUUCUAGUUUUUCCUUUUUUUACCUUCAUCUGCUCUACGUCAGAUGAGAUAACGAAAUGGUCAGCCCCAAGCAGGCUCAGUGCUUCCUCCUUUUUAGAAAUGCUUGUACUGAACACUGUGACUUUUAGUCCAAAAGCCUUCCCAAACUUAACUGCCAUAUGACCGAGCCCGCCAAGUCCAAUUACACCUAGAGACUUACCGGGUUGGUUCAUCUUGUGACGUAUCAUUGGAGUGUACACCGUGAUUCCAGCACAGAGCAGUGGCGCUGCUAGAUCCAUCGGGUAGUUUUCUGGAAUCCUGAAGCAAUACCUGUCAAUGAAGCACCACAAUUAAGUUUCCAAAUAACACCAAGAGAGGAAGUGAUUUCCCAAUAGAAUCAGCAUCCUGUCUUUUUUGUCUAAAAGGAAUCAAAUCACAGAGCCAGAAAUCCUAUCUUCCGCAUGCUUGGGAAUGUUACUUGCUUAGACCACAAUUCAGCAUCAUGUUGUUUCCGUGAUCCUUGUUCUGACCACAAAUUGCUCAAGACAAACAUUUCUUGCUGUAGCAACGAAAAUAACUCGAUUAAAAUUAAGAAAAGACACUUGCUCUAAGAAAGGAAACUGGUGGCAUAUCACAUAUGCUUGACUGAACACGUAAUUUCUCUAUUUCUUUCAAUCAAUUCCUCCGAAGGACUCAAGAUUCCUGUGGCUCUAUCAGAUACAAGAAUUAGUGAAAGCACAUACAUUUAGCUACCCAUUUGAUCUUAUACUUAUGAUCUAACUUUAACAAUCUAAGGACAGCUUAUUCCAUUCUUGACAAUGGUUAUUGAAAAGAAAGAAUUUCUUUUUGCAUUUAAUAAAGCCAAUUCUCCAUUGAAUGGUCUGAAUGGUAAUUGGAUACAGAGGACUUAAAGACCCUCCAGAGCCGUUAUAGAAAGUAUCUUUAUCCUUUUCCACAAGAUGCAUUAUGCUACUUCUGGUCACAAUCAGAAUACGAAGAAAAUUAGCAGAGAAGAAGACAUGACAUGAAAUCUUUUUUUGGCCACCAUGAUUUGAAAUUCUUUCACAGUGCAAAAUGCUGCCUAAUAACAUUGUGUUAAUAAGCAAUUACCUUUCAUGGACGACAAUGUGACUAGAAUAUCCUCCCUUUGUCACUGUACCGUCCGUAUCGAUUCGGUCAAAAGUCAAAACCAUCUUUUCACAAUGGACUUCUAGCCCGUCAUUGCAAUACUCGCACUCUCUGCAUGAAUUGACAUAAGUUCCCACACCCACAUGAUCGCCAACUUUGAAGCGUUGGACACUGGAGCCAACCUGUUUCACAAUUCCAACUAUCUCGUGCCUGAAUCAAUCAAAAAAGUCAUUCGCAAAUUUUGUUCAGAGAAUUAUUAGGAUGGUGCUAAGAAAAAAGAUUAACAUUCGAAUCACGCUGCAUCCUACCCUGGCACCAGAGGAUACUUGGAGGUUCCCGACAUAUUCCUAGUCCAAGCCACAUCUGCAUAGCACACUCCGCAGUGCGUGAUCCUAAUCGAGACGUCAUCGCUUCCCACGGUCCUAAAGAGAGAAUUCCCAAACAGAUGAGCAUCUAAUCAAGCAACUAAUCAGACUCAGUUACCUUUUGUUCUCAUUUUUCAGAUCAAUAAACUAAGCGUGACUUACAAUAAUCAUACAUUCAACCCAAAAAAAAAUUUAAGAAAAGAGAAAUGAAAAGGAACCAAAUCCAUGACUAUAGGCAUUUGUCUGAAUAGUACAUACAACCUCAAAUGCUCACAAAGGCAGCACCCGAAUCCUAAUGUCUGCCAUGAAGUUCUAAGCAACUCAUUCUGGGACAUGACAUAUCAUGCGUACAAACAAUUCUCUACCCAGAAAUUAGUGCAUACACAACAAAAUUUAUAAAAGAAAAACGAAAUGGUUUGGUCAAUGUGGAAAUUUAAAUAUAUGACAAGCAUCAAAAACUGUUUUGCAUUACAGGUGAGAGGAUAAGACCUGAGAACACUGUAUUGAGACUUAUUCAGACAAAUACUUCAAUAGAAAUUGAAAGUAUAAGGAGCAGAUGAAUUAAAUAAAGAACAGUGGUAACAGUAAUACCUGCGGCUGAAUUUGUAGGGGGAGAGACGUCCAGAAGGAUCUCUGGCAGCCCAACCAAGACAAUCUUCCUUCGCACCCUCUGAACUCAUCGUUCCUCACCGACCUCAACUGAAAUCGACCCACAAAAAAAUUGCUGUGUUAAUCUCUCAAUAAGCUGAAUUAUGGAAGAAGAAGAAGAAUUAUUUUCGUGAAAGAGAAAUGAAGAGAAAAUCAAACCGGAAAACAGAAGUUCAAAUGGUCAAAAGGCCAAAUGUCACGAAGACUUGGCAAUUCCGUUUCCGUGCAGACAAGAUUUUGCGGUCUGACUUUUGAGCAAAGAGCGAGAUUAGCAGAGAGCGAGGUUGAGCGCUCAAAAACCGUCACCUCUUUAUAGAUGCCAUAGCGUCGCCUGUUCUUGAUUUUUUUUUUCGUUUUAUCUUGUGGAAAAGAAUUAGUGCCAAACGUAAGCCAUUACCCUUCACUAGCCAAUGAAGUAUGCAGUGACGUCUUCUGGAGUACGGUUCUUGGUAUUUUUAUUUAUCCUCCCAAUAACAAUUGCAUUAUUAAUUUAUUCACACAUUAAAUAUGUCAAUAGGCAACAUGUUGACGCAUAAAAUAUGUCAUGAUCCUCUAGUGGUAUGUAUUCGAUUCAUCUAUUUUAAGAAUAUUCACCUUCAUCUAUUUUAAGAAUAUUCACCUUCUUCAAAGAUAGUGUUAGUAUAUGCGGAAACAUGUGUUUGAUAUGUAUGCAAGCAAAAGAACUAAGGGACAAUGUGAGCAAGAAAUAGUGGGACAAAGUAAUAAUAGGAAUGUGUAAAAGAGAAUGAGGCUGAGGCGGUGAAGGAGAGAAACUUGAAUGGAAGUCAACAAUAGUGGCUGAAGAAGAAACUAGUAUGUGGACAGCAAGAGUACUUGGAGAAGAAGAAAAUGAGUUGUCAGCUGUACUAUGGCCUAUGGCGGUGAAAAAGUCAAAAAUGUCAUGCUUGAAGUCGGUUGUAAUUGCCUAUAAAUAGGCUUGUCGUUCAUUUAUUUGGUGUGUGUGAGGUGAACCCUUCACCUUGUGUGGGGGUGAACCCUCCACUGUGAGAGGUCUUAAACCUCCGCUAGGACCAUAUGGAGAGUGACUAUUCAACACCUCCAUCAAAUUAUUUUGUCUUCUUCAAUAAGUUCUUGACAGCUGGAGUUUGAUGAAGAAACUUUGCUUCAUGCUUUCCGCUACUUGCUAUUUCCGAUGCACGUAGACUUCUCUAGCCUAUUCUAGGAUUUCUUCUUCAACUUGGGGUUUGCUUGCUUGUAUUCCCAUGUGAAUCUUCUAGGUUCAGCUAGCAACCACCAUUCUCAACAAUUCUAGACAAUCUUCAACAUGGAUGUUGCUACCAACGUUCUCGCCUUCAUGAUUAAGUUAAUAGUUUCUAAACAGUUUUAGAGAAAAUGGAUCAUAAUUUUCAACAUAUAGUAUUUUGGAGAGAAAAGUAUUUCAGCAGAAUUGUUCAAGGAUUUACAGAUCACUACAAUAUCACCGGAAGCAAAUAAUUAUCCAUCAUUGACAUGAACGAUAUAGCAAAAAUUCUUUUACUUGUUUACCUUAAGUUUAGCAAGAUCUGCUUAAACGACAACCUUGAGUAUCUUCAAUUCCCUUUCUCUUGCCUUCAAAAAGAUAUUGAAAUGCAACGCAGAAUCAAGACAGAUUGUCAUUAACAAAGCUGUAAAAGCCUACUCAAUCUGGCAAAAUUGGGGACAGUGUUUUCCAGCGAUCUUGACUACCUCGGUAGCUGCUGUGCAAAUGGAUAGGAAUGCAUGCAGAGGGACAAGCUGAUUGUUACCUACUUUUAGUCAUUCAUUUGAAACUGUAAGAUUCAUGUGCCAUAAGAUAGCCAAACAAGCGGGCAAAAAAUGAUGUGCCUUGCACCGAAGGUGGCAAGAGCAAUUAGAUUAAAUUCAAACCAAAAAAAGCUUGAUGCAUAAAAUGAAAAGUCAUCCAUUGAGCAAAAAAGGGUGCGUUUGGUAAGGUUUCUGUUUAAAAAUUGUUUCUGGGAACAUAAAUAAAAAAAAGUGUUUCUGUUCCAAGGAACAAGUUUUGAACAAAAAAACGCAUUUGGUAAAUCUGUUCUAGAAAUAUAAAAAAAAUAGAAACACGUUUGGUAAGUUUGUAUAUUUUUUUUUAUUUCUUUUAAUUUUUAAUAUUUUUAUUUUUAUUUUCUAUUUUCUUUCUUAUUUUUCUUAUUUAUUUUUCCUUUUUUUCUUAUUUAUUUUUCCUUUUUCCUUUUUUCUUCUUUUGGCCGGUCGCCGGCCUCGGCCAUGGCCGACGACCAGCCGACAAGGGCCGGCGGCCUCACCCAGCCAUGGCGAGGCUCGCCGGCCGCUGGGCGAGCUCGGCCUCGCUAGAUCUGGGCGAGAUCGAGCUCGCCCAGCCAGGCGCGAGGUCGGCCUCGCCGCGCUGUGCCGACGGUGACCCAGAGCCACACCAUCGUCUCCCUCCACCGCAUCGGUGACCGCGCUCGACGCCUCCUCGCCGCCACCGGAUCGGCGACCACCCCUCCGCCUCACGCCCGAUUGACGCAUCUGCAGGUCUCGAGCCUUCGUUCACCACCGCCACAUCAGAUCUCACCACGCCGUGACCCACGGCUUCGAGAUCCGCUCGAUCGUCGACCCCGCGCCGGCCCACGACUCGACCGGCCGUCCUCGCCGCUCCGCUCCUAGACGUCCGCCGCUCGAGACCCCACGGCCGAGCCCCGCACCGCAGCCGCCGCCGCCGCCCAGCGACCCGCGACCCAGCUCCGUCACCCGCUCACAGGUGGAGAUGCUCGCAGCGGCUGUCGGCGCCGGAGAGGACGACGGUGGAGAAGCCGGAUGGUCUCGAGACAGAGGCGGCUGUCGGCGCCGGAGAAGACGACGGUGGAGACACUUGCAGAAGGAGAGGCUCGCAGGAGAACACGAUUUUGUUUCUUUUUUGUUCUUCAAAUAUGUUUCAGAAAUAAGAAAUAAGAAAUUCUUGUUUCUUAUUUUUGUUUGUUUCUUAUUUUUGUUCCCUUUUUGUUUCUAGGAACAAAAAAACAAAAAAGAAACAGAAAUGCACCCAAACGCGUUUCUGUUCCUUUUUUGUUCCCAGAAACAAAAAAAUAGAAAUUUUUGUUCGUGGGAACAGAAACACGGUGCAAACAAACGCGCCCUAAAUGACAAAGUAAGUGCAAUGAGAGUCAUUGAUGUUCACGCCAAACGUAUGCCAUGACCAUUCCUUAGCCGAGAGAAUGUAAGCAGCGACAUCUUCUAGAUAGUGGUUACUGGCAAUUUUUUUUUUUUUUAUCCCCGGCCUGAUCAAAUUAUCCGAGUUAUAAACUCAGAAAGAAGUUAAUGAGCAAUCUACCGCUAGGACCUAUGAAGGGUCAUAUGUUGUUGGUUACACAUCGUGUUGGAAUAUAAUAUACGGAAAUGAAAAGAUCUUGCAAUUUACGUCAACGUGCAAACUCCAGAAAAAUAAAUGAGAAAUAAUAAGAACACCAUAACUUUACGUGAUUCGGUCCGAGUAUUAGUACCUACAUUCACGGGAGAGUUAGCAACAAAUAACCCACUAUAAUAAAAAAAUCAGAGUUUACAAUCGCUCACAUGCUUGAGUAUUUUCUACACCUAGAUUUCAACUCAAGAGUUUAUAAAUAAACAACUCAUUUUAACAUAAAUUCACGACAUAAAAUUACCACUCGUUCAAAAACAAAAUGCUCUACGUACGCCAAAAACAAGAAUUCCAGCAUUUAUCUUUUGGUUCGCGUAGAUACGGAUUUGUGUUCUUCUUUGCUUGAUCGUGCGGCGCUAUUCUAGACGUUCCUUUUGGCUCUUUCUUCUUCGUAGGGCUUCAGUAACUUUUUCUAUAAAAAAAAAAAAGGACGUUCUAUUUUAUAUAUGUGCCUAGAGUCAACAACUUUGACUCUGGGCCCACCAUGUGCUUCUUUCUUCAGUGGGAAGUGGGACGCUGCAGGUAAGGCGAAGAAACCUUCCUUUUAUUCAUUUUUCUUCAUAUUUCCUUUAUUUUAUGGGAUAUGUUUGGCAGAAGUCCUAAAACUUGUCCAGAAAGUGCAAUUGAGUCCUAAAACUUACAAAAAGUUCAAUCAAGUCCUAAAACUUGUCAAAUUGGUUCAAUUGAGUCCUAAAGUUAACACCGUUAAGAAAAUUAACAGAAAUUGCUGACGUGGCGCUGACGUCAUAUUUUAAAUGAUCUUUUUUAUUUUUCAAAUAGCUUUUUUAAAUUAUUUUUAUUCAAAAUCUUUAAAAAUUAGAUUAAAAACUAAAAAGGAAAAUCUAAAUUUAUUAAAAAAACAAAAUUGUUCAAAAAAAAAAAAAGAAAAAAGGGCGGUGGACUUUCGCCGCUGCCCAUCGCCGAAGGGGCCGGCGAUCGUCGCCGGCCCUGGGCGGGGGCGAUGGUCGCCAUCCCUUGCCUGGGGCCGAGCAACCGUCGCCCGCCUUGGGCGAGGCCUCGUCGGCCCUCGCUUGGGGUCGGCGAGGCUCGCUAGAUCUGGGCGAGCCUCGCCCUCGCCAGCCACCCCUGCCCAGGGCCGACAACUGUCGCUCGGCCCCUUCGGCGAUGGGCGGCGGCGGCGGCGGCGGCGGCAGCGGCGGCGGGGAGAAGAGGGCUGCUUUUUUUUAAAACAAUUUUAAAAAUAACUUUUAUAACUUUUCUUUUUAAUUUUUAGAUAAAAUGAAUAAAUUUAAUUUUUUAGUUUUAAUUCUUUUUUUAAAAAUGAAUAAAAAUCAUUAAAAAAAUCCACGUGGAAAAUAAAAAAUAAUUAAAAAUGAUACGUCAGCAUUUUUAACAGAAAAAGCUAACGGUGUUAACUUUAGGACUUAAUUGAACUAACUUGACAAGUUUUAGGACUUGAUUGAACUUUUUGUAAUUUUAGGACUCAAUUGCACUUUUUGGACAAGUUUUAGGACUUCUGCUGAACAUAUCCCUUAUUUUAUAUAUGUUGUGUGCCUAAAGUCAAGACUUUUGACUUUGGGCCCACAUAAAUAACCUUGUUUGGCUCCCGUAGAUAAAGAAGAAACUUUGUUCUUUUUAUUAUUAUUAUAUUUUCUUUCCUCUUUCGUAAACCUUCACAAAGUCCAACAAAGCUUCUUCUAUUGAUCGAAACAAUCAAAGACCCAAAAAGAAUUUCGAAUUUAUUUUCUUGUGCAUAAUCUUGAAUAUUAUCUUUAUCAGAAAAAUAUCUUCACGAUCAAAUAAUAAAAUUUUUAUCCAAGCGGAUCGCAUUUUGCAAAUACUCAAACUCGAGACAUAAUUUAACACAUCCGACAUGAUAUACUGCCCAAUUACUAUCCUCUGACAAUUUAUAUUUGAUUAAUCUAAUUCAAGAAUAUUCAUUUGUUAGACUUGUUGGCUUACACGCCACUGUCACGUGAUAUAUCCUAUAUUGAGAAUACUCAAUGAGCUUUGACUCUAGAUACUUGGGAGCAUCUAUGCUUGUUUUAUGUAUGUUAUGCUUGUGAUGCAUCUUGUUUUGAGUGGACUGUAGAAAUAUUUAAGUUCGUGCCAAUUUGACUAAUUUUUUAUCUGGAUAAGUGCAUUGGAAGAUUUAAAACUUAUCAUAAAAAUACAAUUAAGCCAUGAAACUUUGAAAUCAAGUUCUAGAACUUGUCACAUUGGUCUAAUCUAAAUCCUACCAUUGCAUUUUUGAAAAUUUCGGUACUUAACUGCAAUUUUCUAACAAGUUUUAGUAUUUCCAAUAUACUUUUUUUUUUUCAACCUCAGUAAUGUUUUUAAGCAACAAUGAGCUUGACAUAUCUCUGUUUUCGGAAUUUCAGUGGCUAUAGGAAACAAAAGGACGUCCUCUAAUGAAUCAACAAUCUUCUGCCAUGACAAAGCUGGAAGAGAGAUGAGUGUCUUCCAUAGUUAUAAAAAAUGUUCAUGCAAUAAUCUGUAGGAAUUCGUCUUCCUGACGUGCAUGAACAUUUCCGGCCAUGAAACAUUUCACGGUGAAGACAUUCUGUCACUUAAACCGGCAAAAGGAUAUCGAGCUUGUUCUUUUGGCGAGUGUAUUGCCGUCAAAUAUGCCUGAUUAAUUCCACGACUAUUAGCAUUUGUUUAAAUAGAGCAUACAACCUAAAAUGCUCACAAAGGUAGCUGGUACUGGAUCCUCAUGUCUGCCCAUGAAAUUCUGAGUGCCUCAGACAUGGCAUAUCAGGCACACAAACAAUUCUCAACCCAGAAAUUAGUACGUACACAACAAAAGUUUAAAAAAAAAAAAAUUGGUUUGGUUAAUGUGGAAAUUUAACAUCAUGACAAGCAUAAAAAACUGUUCAGCAGUACAGUAGAGAGGUCAAGACCUGAGAACACUGUAUUGAGACUUAUUCAGAUGAACACUUCAGAUAGUCACUGAAAAGCUAAGGAGCAGAUGAAUUGAAUAAAGAACAAUGGCGAUGAUAAUACCUGCGGCUGAAUUUGUAGGGGGAGAGAAGUCCUAGAAACCGUCAUAGAUGCCAUAGCGAUGGAUGUUCACGAUUAAUCUUUGAGCUUACUAUUGUGGAAAAGUAUUAGUGAUUCGCCAAACGUAACCCAUGACCCUUCCUUAACCAAAGAACGCAUGCAAUGACAUCUUCUGGAGAGCGGCUCCUGGAAUUUUUCCAUCCACAACCUAAUUGCAUUAUCAACCUACUGACACAUAAAAGAUGUCAAUAGGCAAUGUGCUGUUGCACCACUGGACCCGCAAAUGGUCAUCAAUGUCGGUUAUACCGCCAAUAAUUUGUACCUGACCCUUCAUAGUCGUAUUAUUCGAUUAAUCUAUUUAAAGAACAUUCAUUUUCUUCAAACAUGCUUUCUCACGUGCCACUGUAAUAUGAUGUUUUUGAUACACAAAAUACUAUCUCUUCAAGAGCUUUGACUCCUAUAUACUUGGGACAUUAAAUUGUUUUAGCAACAAUGAGCUUGGGAUAUCUCUGUUUUCGGGAUUUCAGUUGCUAAGGGAAACAAAAAGGACGUCCUCUAAUGAAUCGACGGUAUUUUGCUAUAACAAACCUGGAAGAGAGAUGAGCGUCUUACAUAAUUACAAAAAAAUGAUCACGCAAUAGUUGGUAGAAAUUUACUCUGCUGACGUGCAUGAACAUUCUGAACAAAAAACGGAAAACAUGCAUGAACAUUUCCGGCCAGGAAGCAUUCACGAGGAGCUGAGAGACACUCUAUUUCUUAAAGCAGCAAAAUGAUUACGAGCUUGUUCUUUUGGUGAGUGGAAUGAAUAAAUUGUUCAAAAAAUCCUAAACUUAUUGUCCGACCACUAAUUUAAUUCUAAACGUUUUAAUUUGAUCAAUGUUGUCUAAAACUUUUGACAAUUUUUUGUAGUCCACCUAGUUAAAUUUAGGUCGAAAAUCAGUGAUGAAGCAAUUUAGUAAACACUAGCUGUUUUAAGUGAUACAACCGAUAGCUGAUAUAGAUGAUCUUAAAUGAUGUGGCGUCGUUUCACAAUUUUUUAAUAUUCUUUCUUUUUCUUUUUUAGUAAUUUUUUUUCCUAUUCUUUCGUUCUCUAGUGUUCAUUUUCUUCCCUCUGCCGGUGGCCGAUGCCUCAGCAAUGACCGGCGACCAUCAUAGGCUACAAGUGAGGGCAUUGAGCGAGACUUGCAAGCCUUCUCCUAGAUUUGGGCAAGGGCCCUAUAGGCCCUCAUUGGCCGUAGGCAAGGUUGGGGACUUGCAAGCCCUUGCCUAGAUCUACCCUCUAAUGGGGUCAAUGCCUGCCAUCACCAAAGCCUCAAUGUCUUGCUCUGGAAAGAAAAUGAACAGCAGAGAAGGAGACAAUAGGAAAAGAAAGAAAAAAGAAAAAGAGAGGAAAGGAAAAAGGGAAAAAAUCUGAAAAUAAUAACAAAAAAUUGCAAAAUGACGUUGUUUCAUUUAAGAUCAUCCAUGUCAAUUGCCAAUCAUGCAACGUGGCCUACCUUGUUGGAUGUAGUAGAUUUAGGAUAUUUUGAAUAUUUUUCUCCUAUUAAAUAUGCCCGGUUUAUUUGAUAUCCUAAAAUUUGUCAACUUUGUGAAAUCAAGUUCUAAAAUUUGUUGGCACUCUUUUCAUAUUGGAUGAAGUUAAUGAAAUGACUUGAUUACAACUACUUGGUAAGUUUUAUGACUUGAUUGUAAUUUUUGAAAAUUGUCGGACUCAAUUGCAUCUCUAUAAUAAGUUUUAAAACUUGAUUACGCUAUCUAAAAAUUUUAAGAUUUUCAAUAUACUUAUCCCUAAAAUAAAAUAAAAAGGGCCUACCCCCUUUACAUGAACUCUUUAAUUUAAACGCACCAUGGAAUUUCCUGUCCUUUUACACAAUUUCAUUAACUAAGAUUUUAUUUUAUUUUUUGGGUUAAAACCAAGAUUUAGUUCUUCUUCUUCUUUUUUUUCGGACCAGCCAAGAUUUAGUUCAAAGAUAGAUAUUUUGAGGAGAAAAAAAUUUCAGCAAACUAUGCAAGGAUUUGCAAAAGAUCGCAACAAUAUUACCGGAAGCAUAUAAUUAUUUAUCACUGACGAAUGAUAUAGUAAAAAUUCUUUUAGAAGUUUACCUUAAGUUUAGCAAGAUCUGCUUAUUCGGCAGCCUUGAGUUUCUUCGAUUCCUUCUCUCUUGCCUUCAAACAGAUAUAGAAAUGGCAACGCAGAAUAUCAAGAUAGAUUGCCAUUGACAAAGCUGUAAAAGCCUACUCAAUCGAGCAAAACUGGGACAGUUUUUCCAGCAAUCUUGACCACCUCCGUAGCAUGCCGUGGAAAUAGAUAGGAACACAUGUAGAGGGACAAGCUGAUUAUCACUUGCUUUUAGUCAAGCAUUCGAAACUUUGAGAUUCAUGCACUAUAAGAUAGCUAGACAAGCAAAAAAAAUGAUGGGCAUUUCAGUUGAGGUGUCAAGAGCAAUUAGAUUGAAUUCAAACCAAAUAAAGCUUGACGCAGAAAAGAGAAAUGUUGUGCAUUGAGCGAAUAUAUGACAAAAUAAGUGCAAAGAGAGUCAAUGAUGUUCUAGCGCUUUGGCCAAUUGAGUUCUUAAAAUUUUACUUUGCUUAAUUGAAUCCUCGGCCUUUUCAAUUUCAGUCAAUUGAGUCCCUCAACCUUGAUCCUCGGAAAUAGUCACAUGGCUAUGAUUUUCCAAGUUGAUAAGAAGAUGCUCGAGAAGAAAACCGGGUAGGAGGUGAAAUGGGACCUAAGUGCAAGUUUUACUAUUUCAGUAACUACAAUUGAUCUGACAGAAGGUUGAACUUUCAUGGAUCUGGCACUUCGUUUGAAGCUAUACAAACAGAAAUCAGCGGGCUCAAGAAGCCAAUCUUUUAGACAGUUUCUGAAUUAUCACACAGAAAAGCACUAGGAUAUCUUUACACAUUCACUUAUUAUAUCCUCUAUAAACUAACAGUUAUUAGAGUAUAUUAGGCAUCAUUUAUUUGUAGUACAUUAGGUACAGAUGUCCUCUCUCUGAAAUUCCCUCUUUUCCUCUUCUUACGAUUAGCUUUGCCAGAAGAUGUUUCCAACUUCCGACAUUGAUGAUGUCAUUUCAAGGAGUUCUCAAUGUUUAUCACAAAUCGGUACUUAACAUCUCUCUUGAUGAGCCCCUCAAGGGCUUCAUUGGCAUAAUCGAUCAGUAUCACUUCGAUUUCUUGGUGUAUGUGCUGUGGCGCACAGAGGUCUAUCAUUUCUUGGAUAUACUUCAUUCCUCCAGUAGCGCUACCCAAAACUGUUUUCAUACCUGCAAAAAGUUCAUUGUGAGCAACUUAGUUGGCUUGCCUAUCAGGUAUCAAUAUUUCAUUCGGUAAUGAGCUUUGAGAAUAAAAACAUACCAAGGUUAAGGGAGGAAGUACACUAAUGGUGCCAUAAGUUAUGUACGGCGCUCACUUUGGUGUCAAAAAUUUUUGUCGGAUCACUUAAGUGCCAAAAAUUUUGAAAAACGAUCACUUUGGUGCCAUCGUCGAUUUGGUUGGUCGGAAAUCUGACGUGACAAUUUUUUAUUAAUUUUUUAUGCCGACGUGGAUCGUCGGAUAAUACAAUCAACAAACAAAGAACAAAACGAUGCCGUUUACCAUUUUCCCCCAAAUAAAAACCCCUAAAUCCCUAAUUUCGACUAGAACUGGAAGUUGAAAACCCUAAAUCCCCAAUUCGACCAUUUCGAGUGCAUAUUUCGAUUUUCUGCCAAAGUUAUCAACUUGCUUUUGCAAAUGGAGGACAAAAGUUUCAACAGUGGCUCGCAUUCCUAUAAGAAAAGCGAAUUAGAUGGUGAGUGUUACUGUUAUUGUGGGUUACCGAGUCCGAGAAGAAUAUCUUGGACUUGGUUGAAUCCCGGGAGAAGAUUCCAUGGGUGCGGCAGAUAUAGAGAAAGCUCGAAGUGCCAUUAUUUCAAAUGGGUUGAUAGGAAAUUCUCUAAUCGAGCGACAUAUGUGAUAUUGGAGUUACUUGAAGGCCAAAAUCAACCUCCAUCUAUGUUAAUGGACGAGCUGGGGGAUGUCGACUCAAUACAAGCUCAAAUGAAGGGUUUAACAUCUCUGAUGGACCAUUUGAAGAGAGAGGUUUCAAGGCUGAAAAUUGAAAGAAACUUUAUCGAGCGUUGAUUGUAUUCUUAUUCUCUUGGGUAGUUUAUUCAAAUGUAAAGUGAGUAAUGAGAAGAAAUUUGUAUGUCUACCAUAGUCGAAGACGUGGAAUAUGCACUUGUAUUGGAUUAUUUAUAAGUAAAAUGUGUUUUUUGGUUUGUUGCAAUUUUUAUAUAGAGCAGAAUGUUUUAUUGUUGUAAUCUAUAGGUAGAAAUGUAAGGUUGGACUUGGAAUGCAUUAGUUGUGAGCACUUAAAAAGUUUUGUUGUUUAGUUGUGUAUUGUCAAUGUUUGUUUUUGUUAGUUUUUACUUCAAAUAUAAUGGUUUACUGCAUUUUUUAUUUGGUAAUAGUUUGCUGCAUUGAAAGCAAACGGUAAUGGUUUGCUGCAUUUUUUAUUUGGUAAUGAUUUGCUGCAUUGAAAGCUUUUGAUAAUGGUUUGCUGCAUUUUUUUUAUUUGGUAAUGGUUUGCUGCAUUUUUUAUUUGGUAAUGGUUUGCUAGUUUGCUGGUUUGCUUCAACUGUUAAACCAUGGCUGAAUGGCCGAAAUUAAAGAAUGGUGCCAAAUUCACGAUUGAUCAUUUCAGUGCCAUAAGUUGUAAAUAGUGAUCGCUUAAGUACCAAGUUUUUAUAGAAGUGAUCAUUUAAGUGCUAGUCGCAAUUACAAAGUGAUCACUUAUGUUGCACAAGUUUUUUAAAAAAUAACAUGUUAGUGCCAAACGUCACAUUCCAAAUGCACAGAGUUCUUGCACCAGUUGAGUUGCUGGUGCAUCUUCUUGCACCAACCCAUACAGAUGUCGAUGCAACAAGAUGUACCAGCACCCAAAGUGCUCUUGUAGCAGCACAUAUAAUCAGAACCCCACAAAUUCAUUAUAAUCCACAACUUUAACCAACAACAGCAACAUUGCAGCAACAACAACAUUGCAAUAACAACAAAAAUAAAAUAUAUAGCAUAACUAACUUGCUAGCAUUCUAGCUAAAACCAACACAAGAGAAAAUGAAAAGUCAUUCCAGUACUUGCCAUUAACAUUGCUUGAUUGUUUACAAAAUACAAAAUACAAAAAAAAAAAAAAAAAACAUGUCUAACUUCACUCCCUAAUCAUCAAAAGUUCAGCACUUUCCUAAAAAAAAACAAUGGCAAUAUGCAAGCAGCAACUACCAUUGAUGAUAUAAUAUCCAGCACACUCCUAAAAAAAGAAAACAUGGAAAGAGACCAUGUCUAGCAUCACAUAAAAAGAGACCAUGUCCAACACCCUCCCAUCAGUCAAUAUUGACAACACCCUGAUCUCUUUUUCUUAUUAGAGCUUUGAAUUGAUUCAUAAUCCGAGCACUCUUUCGAACUGGAUGUGCAGGUUCUUAACUGGGCUUUCUGUCACCUCAUUUUCCUUUUCCUUGUUUUUUACGGCAGCUAUUUUUGUUCUAGCACGUAUCAUGUGUUGGUCCAUAUCAUCACUACUGCUCCCAAUCGUUGGUUGAGAUGGAACUAGUGAUGGGUUCUUUUUGGAUGGCUGUUUCGCAGCUAUACCCACUGUCUUCUUCUUCUUCUUCUUUGGAGCACUCUUCUUUGGAUGCGCCCUUAAUUCUUGAGUUGGCCCACCUUGAGAGAGAAGUACCUCUGAAGUUCUCCCAGGCUACAAGAACAUAAUGAUAUUGUCAACCAAAUGAAUUGAAGUACAACAAAUUAAAUGCAUAAGGCCUAUAAAUUUUACAUUCAAAAUAGUCAUUCCAGUACGUUCAUCUGUGUAAAUCCCAUAACCAUAUUGCCUUAAUUUUUUUCCAAGAGCCCCUUUUGUUCGCUGUGAUGCAUCAUUUUCAGCAACAACAAUCUGAUAUUGCUAGUAUGAGUACCUAGAGGGGGGUGAAUAGGUAUAUAAAGAGUUUUUCUCAAGCAAUUGCACAAUACUAGACAGUUGGAUGAAACGAUAAUCAAAGUAAGACUGAGAGAAGAGAAAAUUUAAUACGCGGUUUAUAGUGGUUCGGCUUAUAUCAAGCCUACGUCCACUCUUCUUCACUGACAGCCUAUUGGCUGGAUUCCACUAUGAACAAGAGAGAGGUUACAGCACAGCUUUGCCUUGAUUCCACAGUGUAGAUGUUCUACUACACCUCCUCAAGAUUUCUCACAAAUAUAGACUCUCUCUUUCGUAUACAAGUAUUCGCUCAAAGGAUUUGUCUAAACAAAAAGAAGUUUCAGACUUUGGAAUUCUUCUAUCGCGCACACCUUGAACAACUAAGACAGUCUUCCUUAUAUACUCCUUUAUGCCAUCAUACCCGUUGGCACUUACCAAAGGAAUUCCUCCAAUCUACCCGUUGAACGGAAUCAAUUAGGAAGAUUGUCCAAGCUAUAAAUGGAACGUGUUGAUAGCCCAUCAAUCAUGUUCGCCCAUACAAUCAGGAUCUCGGUUUCCAUAAGCAGAACCUUCCAAUAAUAUUUAGGCAAUCACCGGAUCUUCAAUUAUCGAAUCAAUCUUCGAUCAAUCAAAGGACUCCGUUUAUGUCUUCUCCAGCCAUGAGAUCUUCUCCAGUUGAUAAGGUUAAAUCCUCAACGAAACAUCCAGUUCUGGAUAACCUUUCUUCAACAAAUUAGAGACUGUCAAUGAGGAUAGACUUUGAGUCUUGAGUCUAGCUGUCCUAAGGUCUUUAGACUUUAAAUAGCAGAGUCUGCAAGCCUUCAGACUAGACUGAUAUAAACGAUUUGUCAACUUCAAAACACUUCAAGAAGAUUUCUCCAACAAUCUCCCCCUUUUUGAUGGUGACAAAACUUUCCUGCAGAUUUGGAUAUCUUUGACCUGCAAAACAUUUCUCAAACACAUAUACAUAUCUUAUAGAGGUAAAUGUCUUAACAGAAUAACACUAGAAUCUGCAACCACAGAAAAUAGGUUAGUCCAGUAUAUGAUGAAGCCAUCCAUAAGAUAUCAAUAUUAGUUAAUAGAAGCAGUCAAGUCCAAGUCUAGUUUACUUCUCAUCCAAACACAAACCAAAGUCAAAUAGAUUCAAACCACAAAACAAUCCAACAAAAACAAUUAAAAGUUGAAUGAAAGGUUUUUAAUCAAAUCUUGCAUCUCUCCCCCUUUUUGUCAUCAUUAAAAAGGAUGAGAUGAAGUUAAGAAUGCUUGGGAACGCGGACAAGCUGGAAAUCUUCCAUAGACUGAACAAUGCCUUCCAACCUUUUAAAGUCUUCCUUUAGCUGUGCAAUCUCCUCACUCUUGGCAUUGGCCUGAUUCUGAACAGAGAGGGCUUGCAUUUUAUCAUUCAAUAAACAGGAAGAAGCUUGACCUUCAUUCUUCAAGCUUUGAACUUCGCAUCCCAAGGCAUAAAUCUGACCUCGCAUCUCCAAAAGAAUAUCCAUGAUUCUGCGAAAAUCUGCUCCAUUAUCAGUUUGAGUACUUGCUUCGGCUCGAUCUGAUGGAGUAAAUGCAGAUGAUGGUAGAUCAGCAUAAUCUUGCAGGUUUGGCGAUGAAACUUCAUGACCUUCUUCUGGAAAUUGAGAUGCAUAAACAUCCUCUGGAUCUGCUGGUGAGCGACUGAUUCCUUCACUUGCAUCAGGACAUGAAGACUUCACUCCUUUCUCCUGAUCUCCCCCUGUUUCCAUGCCUACAGGUGGAGAAGAGUGUUCUUCAGGUUCUCCUUCUUCUCUUCUUUCUUCUUCAGGUCUUUCCUCCUCUGUUUCUUUUUCAGCUUCUAUUUCUUCUUCUUCCUUCUCCUCUGCUUCUUUCGUCAUUUGCUCCGAUUCUUUCUGUGGAACAAGACGACUUAAAUUCUUCAAAGCCAAUGCAGAGAUGGUGAUGUCUUCCUCAUCAUCUUCAUCCUCAACAAGGAGAGCUCUUCUUCUCUUGGAUGGAGCAACCAUGGGCUCCUUCCCUUUUCUUUUAGCUGCAGAAGAUAUUUGAUGAGAUUUUGCAGGAGUCUUCUCCUUGAAUUUCUCCAACUCCUUGCUCAGUUCUUUCAGACGCAUUUUGGUCACCAUUUUCAGACCUACCACCAUAUGAUCGCAUGGUCGAACACAAAAGAUUUGUAGAGGCUGAAUAUUCAGAUGUCUGAAUAACUUCGUAACAAGGCUUGGGUAAGGGAGUUGACCUCCGUCCUUCAUCAUUGCUCUAUACAUGUGAAACAUCACAGUGUGAGGGAGAGAAAACCUUUUUCCAAAGAGAAUGGCAUACAUCAACUUGGCCUCUGAACUUGAAACAUCAGUCUUGGAAGUCGAUUUCGGUCGGAUGCAAUUAAUCACAAUCUUGUGAAGCAAGAUGUUGAAUGCACCCAUCCUUAAGUAGGUGAUCUUUUCAUCUGUUCUCCUGUCCUUCACCAGUUCAAGAGUGGCCCGAGCAAUGGAAACUUUGAUUGGCUGAUAUCUUCCUCUUUCGACUUCUAACACAUCUGCCAGCAUAUUCAUAUCCACAACAUAAUCUUGGUUUUUAACGCUGAACGAGAAUCUAUUCGCAUCCAAAAAGCUUAGAUUUGAAUAGAAAUAUGCAGUUAAUUCAGCAUAGGCCUCUGUAGAGUCAGAGCAGAACUUUUCAAGUUGAAGAUAACUGAACUUUUCCCUCAAGUUCAUAUUCACAGCAUCCAGAAAAUCGAAAUCUACACUCCUAGGGUUUAUCACCCCACGCUUCAGCAAUUUCGAGUACAGAUCCUUUUGCUCCUUUGAUCUGAACAAAUCUCCCCUUUUUCCUUGGUUAUCAACCGCAACACCCAUUUUCGGUUGGAAUUGACUGUACAAUUUAUCAUCAUCAUUCCCAUCUACAGGAUUCGGCCCCCAGUCACGAGGAUCACUUGGGAUAUUUGCAAGGGUUUCCUCAGCCACCCCUUUUCGAGCAAUUCCCAAACUUUCCAUUUUUUUCAGAAAGAUAUAUUCGUUCCCAUGUCCUUUGUCUUUAAGAAAAUCAUCAAUGUAGUUCAAAGGAGUACGAAUUCCUUUUAGGGCACGAUAUAACUGGUAAAUAUAAGUGGGCUUUUGAACUCUUACAGGGUCUGCAUCCUCGAUGAUUUCUUCCUGUUGUUGAUGAUCAACGCCUUGAGGACUAGAUGGAGGAGAAUGACACUGUUGAGAAUGUUGUGGGCUCGCUUGCUGAUCUGGAGUCACUUCAUCUUCAGUAAGAUCGAAGUGCGUAGGCCCCUCACUCAUCCGCCGUGGUCCCCUGCUUGCAAUUCUCGAAGACUUUCUUGAAGAUGACAUCUUAGUUUUUGGAAGAUUCCUUGCUUGACUUUCCCAGGAAAGAUGACAACUUUUUAAGGAUUAAACGAAGAAGACAAACGGGAAUGGAGGAUCGAUGCUUUCUAGGGUUUUUGAGAGAAAAGUGAAGAGGAAUCGAUAGUUCACGAUCGGUUAAGAAGAGGGAUAAACGAACCAUCAUAAAGGAAAUAAAAAUAUGCCUUUUCAAAAUAACUGUCUUUUUCCGCAAAAAUAGCCAUUUCAAAAAUAACUUCCCUUUUGAAAAUGAAACGAUGCAAUAUUUACUUCAAUUAAAUAUAGCAACAAUUUAAACACAGUCUGACAAUCGUACCUUUUCAAGAUGAGAUUCAAGAGAGAAAGACUUACAGUCUGACGGACGUACCAAGACUGUCUUUCAGAUAAAGUCUUGUAAGUCUGAGUCUGAAAGUCUUUAGACUUUGAUAUCCUCAUACCUCAAAAUGUUGAGUCUCGAGCGUAUAGACUCAAAUUGAUUUUUCUCCAAAGGCUUUGUGAAUAUAUCCGCCAGUUGAUUCUUUGAGUCAACAAAUUGAAUUGAAACAUCUCCAUUUUGAACAUGGUCUCUUAUAAAAUGAUGUCGAAUCUCUAUAUGCUUUGCUCUUGAGUGGAGAAUUGGAUUUUUGGUGAGGUUGAUAGCGCUGGUGUUGUCGCAAUUAAUUUCCGUGCAUGAGUCUUCAAUUUCAAAGUCUCUUAGCUGUUGUUUUAUCCAUAGAAUUUGCGAAUAGCAGCUUCCCAGAGCUACAUACUCUGCUUCUGUUGUUGAAAGAGACACAGUGCUUUGUUUCCUUGAAAACCAAGACACUGUCCUGCUUCCAAGCAACUGGCAAGUUCCCGAAGUGCUCUUUCUAUCAACUCUGCAAUCGGCCAGAUCUGCAUCUGAAUAUCCCAUAAGAUUAAAGUCUCCCUUCUUAGGAUACCAAAGACCGAUGCUUGAUGAUGAAGCAACGUAUUUAAUGAUGCGUUUCGCAGCACUGAGAUGGGAUUCUCUAGGAUCUGAUUGAAACCUAGCAUAGAUGCAAACACUCAACAAGAUGUCAGGUCUAGAAGCAGUAAGAUAAAGGAGUGAACCAAUGAUGCUUCUGUACAGCUUUUGAUCAACUUUCUUCCCUUCUUCAUCUUUGUCUAUCUUCAAAGAACUUGACAUCGGUAUGUCGGUCUUUUUGCACUUUUCUAAUCCAAAUCUUUUGACAAGAUCAUUAACAUAUUUUUCUUGAUAAAUAAAGGUUCAUUCCUUCAAUUGUUUUACUUGAAGACCAAGAAAGAAUGUUAACUCUCCCAUCAUACUCAUUUCAAAUUCAUCCUGCAUAGACUUAGAAAAUUUCUUGCACAUAUUUUCAUUAGAAGAUCCGAAUAUAAUGUCGUCCACAUAUAUUUGAACAAGUAAGAAACUUUUGUUCUCCUUUUUGAUAAAUAAAGUAGUAUCCACUUUACCUUUGACAAAACCAUUUUGUAUUAAAAACUUACUUAAUCUGUCGUACCAAGCUCGAGGUGCUUGCUUUAAACCAUACAGAGCCUUCUUCAGUCUGAAGACUGAGUCUGGCUUCUUUGGGUCUUCAAACCCUGGUGGUUGUUCCACAUAAACUUCCUCUUGGAUGACUCCAUUUAGGAAGGCGCUUUUGACGUCCAUUUGGAAUAACCUGAAAUUCUUAUAACAAGCAAACGCAAGUAAUAGUCGAAUAGCUUCUAACCUUGCUACUGGAGCAUAAGUCUCAUCAUAGUCUAUUCCUUCUUCUUUCAUAUAUCCCUUGGCCACGAGUCUUGCUUUGUUUCGUAUGACUUUUCCUUUCUCAUUCAUCUUGUUUCUGAACACCCAUUUAGCUCCAAUAACAGUUUUACCUUUUGGUUUGGAUGUCAAUUUCCAGACAUCAUUAAUGCUAAACUGUCUGAGCUCUUCUUGCAUAGCUUCAAUCCAGCUUUCAUUAGAUAAAGCUUCUUCUAUGCUUUUUGGUUCAAUUUUAGAAACGAGAGCCACAACACUAGACUUUUCUCGCCUUUUGGAUCUAGUGCGAAUUCCUUCAUUCAUUUCGCCGAUUAUAAGAUCUUUGGGAUGACUGGACUUAUGCUUCCAGUUACUCGUUGAUCUGUCUGGUUGAUGAUUUCUUUCUUUGUUUGGAUCUUCACGAACAUCUUGAAGCUGGUUUUCCAGAGUCUGAGAUGCUUCUUGAGAUGUAAGCUUUGGAAGAUCUGGAGCAGGUUCAGACUCUUCUUGAUGAGUCUGACUUGAUUCAUCUUGUGUUGAGUCUUGGAAUUUGACAUUCAUUGACUCCUCCAUAAACUGGCUCUUCUUGUUAUAGACUCUGAAGGCUUUGCUUGAUGUAGAAUAUCCAAGGAAGAUACCUUCAUCUGAUCUUUCUUCAAACUUACCAACUUGAUCUUUUGCAUUUUUCAAUAUAAAACAUUUGCAACCGUAUACAUGAAAGUAUGAAACAAUAGGCUUCUUAUCUUUGAACAAUUCGUAAGGGGUUUUCUCUAGAAUAGGUCUUAAGAAGAUUCUAUUGAUGAUAUAACAUGCUGUUGAAACAGCUUCAGCCCAAAAUCGUGAAGAAAUCUUGCUUUCAAAUAAAAGAGUUCUAGCCAUUUCCUGAAGAGAUCUGUUCUUUCUUUCCACAACUCCAUUUUGCUGAGGAGUAUAUGGAGAGGAGAACACAUGAUUAAAGCCAGAUUCAUCACAAAAUUUUGUAAAAUCUUGAUUUUCAAAUUCACUUCCAUGAUAUGUUCUUAUACUUGAGAUAACACAUCCUUUUUUCAUUUUGAACCUUUUUAGCAAACUUUUCAAAAUACGAGAAGGUUUCAGACUUACUUGCAAGGAAAUAUACCCAAGUAAAACGGGAGUAAUCGUCCACAAUUACUAGGCAAUAUUUCUUACCUCCAAUACUCUGUGUUCUGGUUGGUCCGAAGAGAUCCAUAUGCAGCAACUGUAGUACAUGAUUAGUAGAGACAUGAUUUAUUGGCUUGAAUGAAUUUCUUAUCUGCUUUCCCAGAAUACAUGGAGUGCAUGGAUCAGUCUUUUGAUAAGGUAAUUUGGGUAGUCCUUGAACAAGCUGCUUUGAUGAGAUUUUGGCUAAUUGCUUCAUGUUAACAUGACCAAGCUUUCUGUGCCAUAAGCUUGCUUCGUCUUGAAUUGAGAUAAAACAUUGCGAUUCAUUUGGUUUCACAUCCAGAAGAUAAAUGUUUCCAUGUCUACGACCCAUGAAAGACUGAGUAGAGUCUUUACUGAUUCCAGAACAUAUUCCUUCUUGAAAAAAGAUCUUGAAACCAGUAUCACACAAUUGACUAAUGCUGAGAAGAUUGUAAUUGAGUCCUUCCACUAAGGAAACAUUACUUAUUGUGAGAUUUCCAAUUUUCACAGUUCCAAAUCCCACAAUACUCCCUUUGUUGUUUCCUCCAAAUGAAACUUUUCCACCAUUUACUUGAGCAAUCUUUAUAAAACAAUUUGAGUCUCCUGUCAUGUGUCUUGAGCAUCCACUGUCAAGAUACCACUUUACCUUUUUCUUGACGGUGACCUGCAUUUAAAAAAGAGUCUCAAGCUUUCUUUGGUACCCAAACUUUCUUGGGUCCUUUUGUGUUAGUAACAUAAGCAGUAUUAGCCCAUAUUCUCUUAACAGGUUUCCAAACCAUAGGACACUCUUUUUCAAGGUGAUCCGGACUGUUGCAUUUUGAACAUUUUAGAGCAUUUCUUCCUACAGAUUUUACAAAAACUUUCUUGAAGUGAUUUUUGUAAACCUCUCUCGAGAGUCUUUUCUUAAUUCUUUCUUUUACUUUAGGAAAAUCAAUCAGGGGAAUUGUUUCUUCUGUCAUACCUAAACCGGACUUAUUGAAGUAAGGUCUUUGAGCUGAAAGAAUUUUCUCAAGUUUUUCGGACCCUAUUGAAAAUUUCUUUGAGAUAUUUGAUAAGUCUGUUUUUAAAAAAGCAUUUUCUUUUAAAAGAUCAUCUUCAUUUUCUUUAAGAGUGGAAACAGUCAAGUCAAGACUUUUAACUCUUUCUACUAAAACAUUUUCCUUUUGUUUUAGAGCUGAGUUUUCCUUUUUCAGUUCGGAAAUUCUUUUGAGAGAAGUCUUAAGACUAAAACAUAAUUCAUCAAUAUAUUUAGAAACUUUGACAGGAAUUUUAAUAUCACUUGCCUCAAAUUUACUGUCUGAGUUUGAUCCAGAGUCUGAGUCUGAUUGUGCCAUCAGACAUAGAUUGGCAUAUUCAUUAUCACUUUUUUCACACUCUGUGUCACUCCAUGUUUUGGCUUUGAGAGCUUUUCGAAAUCUUUCAGCUUUUCCUUUCUUCUUUUUCAGAAGAGGACAGUUGGGUCUGAUGUGUCCCUUUUUCUUACAUUCAAAGCAGACUAUGUCUUUGUUUGGUUCCUCAUCAUCAACAGACUUGGUCUGCUGUCUUUGAAAGCUUUGUUUCUUUGAAUUGAACCUUCUUCCUUUUCUAUUCAGUUUUCUGAAUCUUCUUAUCAUGAGAGCAAGCUCCUCAUCGUCCAUAUCUUCUUCAGAAUCUGUAUCAUCAGAAUCAUUAUUUGAUUUUAAUGCAAUGGAUUUCUUACCUUUUGGAUCUUCAUCUUCAUUGAUCCAUUCCACUUCAUAAGACUGAAGAGUUCCAAUUAGCUCGUCGACAGAUAGUGGCAUAAUUCUUUGCGUCUCUCUUAUCGAAGUCUUUAUGUGAUUCUAAUCCCUGGAGAGUCCACGCAGUAGCUUGUUUACCUUCAUGGGAUCAGAAGUUGGUUGACCUUGAUUUUCAAGACCAUUCACAAUAUCUGUAAAACGACUAAACAUGUCAGAUAUAGAUUCUCCUGGUUUCAUUCUGAAGGCUUCGUAUUGACCAAGAAGAAUGUUGAUUAUAGUUUCCUUCACUCGAUCUGUUCCUUCAUAAGUGAUAUGCAAUCUAUCCCAAACUUCUUUUGUUGUACCACAAGAAGAUAUUCUAUUAUAUUCAGUUGGUGAUAAAGCACAAUAUAAGGAGUAAAUUGCUUUUGCAUCGAGUGCUUGUCUUUUGUUUAUUUCUUCCUGAGACAUUCCGCUGGUUUCAUCAGUUUCUUUUCCUCUUUCAGAUACUGAUGCAGUGGUAGGAGUAAUUCCUUUUUCUACAACGUCCCAUUCCAGAGGAUCCUUUGAUCGAAGGAAAGCUUUCAUCUUGUUCUUCCAGAUGUUGUAAUCCUUUCCAUCAAAGUAGGGUGGUCUGGUAUUGCUUUGCCCUUCCAUCAACCCUGGUGCUAGCAUACUAGCCAUGGAUCUUUUACUACGAAGUAAAACACUUCAAAUAAAGUAAGUACACAGGCUCUGAUACCAAUUGAUAUUGCUAGUAUGAGUACCUAGAGGGGGGUGAAUAGGUAUAUAAAGAGUUUUUCUCAAGCAAUUGCACAAUACUAGACAGUUGGAUGAAACGAUAAUCAAAGUAAGACUGAGAGAAGAGAAAAUUUAACACGCGGUUUAUAGUGGUUCGGCUUAUAUCAAGCCUACGUCCACUCUUCUUCACUGACAGCCUAUUGGCUAGAUUCCACUAUGAACAAGAGAGAGGUUACAGCACAGCUUUGCCUUGAUUCCACAGUGUAGAUGUUCUACUACACCUCCUCAAGAUUUCUCACAAAUAUAGACUCUCUCUUUCGUAUACAAGUAUUCGCUCAAAGGAUUUGUCUAAACAAAAAGAAGCUUCAGACUUUGGAAUUAUUCUAUCGCGCACACCUUGAACAACUAAGACAGUCUUCCUUAUAUACUCCUUUAUGCCAUUAUACCCGUUGGCACUUACCAAAGGAAUUCCUCAAAUCUACCCGUUGGACGGAAUCAAUUAGGAAGAUUGUCCAAGCUAUAAAUGGAACGUGUUGAUAGCCCAUCAAUCAUGUUCGCCCAUACAAUCAGGAUCUCGGUUUCCAUAAGCAGAACCUUCCAAUAAUAUUUAGGCAAUCACCGGAUCUUCAAUUAUCGAAUCAAUCUUCGAUCAAUCAAAGGACUCCGUUUAUGUCUUCUCCAGCCAUGAGAUCUUCUCCAGUUGAUAAGGUUAAAUCCUCAACGAAACAUCCAGUUCUGGAUAACCUUUCUUCAACGGAUUAGAGACUGUCAAUGAGGAUAGACUUUGAGUCUUGAGUCUGGCUGUCCCAAGGUCUUCAGACUUUAAAUAGCAGAGUCUGCAAGCCUUCAGACUAGACUGAUAGAAACGAUUUGUCAACUUCAAAACACUUCAAGAAGAUUUCUCCAACACAAUCCUUGUAGCAACCUCUGCAACUUGUGCAGUUGCUCGUCUUCUCACCUAAGAAACACAUAACAAAUGUAAAUUUUAGCCCAUAAAAAGGCCAAACACAGUGAUGUACAACUUACAGGAUAUUUUUUUCUUGUUUGCUCAACGGUGGACUCAGUUGUUAUUGUUGCUGUCUUACCAAUUCUAGUCCUUAUCCCUGCACUUGAGCCUACAACAUGGCCUUUUUCUGGCCCUUUAGUAGGCCUUACAACAAUGUGCUGUAUUAGGAUUAUGACCAACUACAACGAAUAAUUACACAUCUCAUUUUCAUAGUGGAAACACAUGGAGAAAACUUCUCAAAUUACAAGUGCAUGACAGAGGAAAAGCACAAGAGAAGCUAGUACACAUGGUCAACCAUCAAACUCUAUCGAAUAAGAACUGUAAAGUUACUGAGAUAAAGAGGAUACUUACCUUACAGUAUGGCUUUCUGUUGCCCUUUAGUAGACAUUACAGCAGGGCCUUCUGUUCUCCCUUCAAUAAGCCCAACAAGAAACUCUUUGUAAGUCAUGUCCCUGGCAUUGAAUCAACCAUUACAUCUUGCUAUUGAUACUGCUUUUUCAGCUCACAACCUUUCUUAUCGUGCCCUUCCUUGCGGCAAUAGGAGCAUUUCAUAUUUGAUCUAGUCCUACUCAUCCUUUGACUUGAUGCCUCUUCCUAUUGCAUUCUUCGUCUCUUUUUUGGCCUUCAUAUUUGCUUCUUCAGCGGUAAAGGUAGAGGGCUUUAAUGAUUUGUUGGCUCCCAAAAUUUGCUGCUUCUGAUAGGCUACAUCAUGAAUUGGUAUGAAGCAAGGUAUGAGCUUUUUUUGUACCAAUCAUCUAGGUAAUCAUCUAGGUUUUCUUGCUUCAUCUGAAUAGCACAAAUGGCAUGAGCACAGGGAAUUCCAUUCAGUUGCCAAGCUCGGCAUGAACACUUUCUUCUAUCCAAGUUGACAACAUACUUAUCAUGAUUUGGAAUAAUCUCAUACCCAUUAUCUUCAUUCCAAACUGGAUGGCAGAACCUACUAACAGCAAUAUUUGCAUCUAAUCUCUUCACAAUCCUAGGGCCACAGUCUCUACUCCAUUUUGUAGCAUCAUCUCUUUGCCUAUGCAGUCUAGUCAUAACCAUAACUCGAAUAUCAUCAAGCAUGCUGAUGAUUGGUUUGCACCUAGCCUCUAAAAUUCUACCAUUGAAAGCUUCAUUGAGGUUGUUAUCAAUGUUAUCGCAUUUGAACUCUUCGCUGAAGAAGACCCGACACCAGUGCUUAGCUUCUGUCUGGAAGAGUGUAUCAAAACCUUCAUUUGUCAGCUGUAACAAUCCUUGUUUCGCUAAUUUGAAAUCAACCAUAUUCGUACUCUUUGCUAUCUGCCAGAACUGCUUCUACAACAUAUCUCCUUUGAAGUUCCUUGACCAGUUUGCAUAUAUGUGCCUCGUGCACAUUCUAUGCUCAGCAUGUGGCAUCAACUCAGCCAAUGCAGGAAUAAGUCCAUACAAAAAUUCAAACCAAUAAAUACAAGUCAAGAAAAAUAUGCAAGUGAUUAAUAUAUAAAUGAGUGAUUAUUGACAUGAAAUUACCUUCUAUUGGUUGCUCAUGAAUGCCCAUCCUCCCCCAUCGGUUAUCACAAGGUCAGUCAUCAAAUUUUUUAGGAACCAUGACCAAAUAUCCUUGUUCUCUAUCUUUACCACCGCCCAAGUUAUCGGGAACAUUUAAUUAUUGGCAUCUCUCCCCACAGCAACCAACAACUCCCCCUUGCAUAAACCCUUUAGAAAGCAUCCAUCCAAUCCUAUAACUCUUCUACAACCAACCAAGAAGCCCCGUUUGCAUGCAUCAAAACAGACAUAAAAUCUAUCAAAUUUAGGCCAAAGAUCAGGGAGUGGCCUCUUCACAACCUCUACAUAUACCCUACUGGAUGGGUUUUGAAACAUGUAUUCACCAGCAUAAUUCCAUACCUGUGCAUAUUCUUCUUUAUACCCACCCAUCAAUAUUUUCAUCACCCUUAUCUUAGCUCUCUUACAUUGAUUCCUCGACACAUUAACCUCCACUUGCUCCUUCACUAAUUGUUGAAAUUGAGAACUCUUGAUCUCGGGCAUUGCUUUGAUAGUAUUAAAAAAAUUCUUUGAUAACCACACACUUGUUACCCUUUUAUUAUUAAAGAUAAUUGGACAAGUAUGCUCCUCCUGAAAGGACCUAAGCUAGAAUGACCUAUUCUUACUAAGCGCAGCAUAGAGCUUCCAUGAACAAUUAGGUUGUGAGCACUUAGCUCUCACAAAUUCCUUCGUGUUUCUAAUAAAUUUAACGCUCCUCUGUUCACCAAUUGAGUUCUUCACAACAGCUUCCUUGAACUGUUUGGCAUUGUCAAAUCUCAUGCCCACCGACAAAACAGGUUUAUCAACAGUUGAAUCAUAGAAAGGAUACUUACUUUUUCUUCGAGGAGCAGGUUCUUCAUCAUCAUUGUCAAGCUCAUUUUCCGAACUAGUAACUUCAUCGCCACAGCUUUCUUCAUCUUCACUUCUAUUACCCUCAGCUUGAUCUCCAUCCCUAUUUACUGGCUCGGACCUUUUUGCUAAAGCUACAAGUUUUUUUUUCUCAGAAAUUCCCUUUGCUUUUGUCUUGACUGUACGAGUUCAUCAUCAUCUUCGUCACUUGGAAAAUUUACUAAAGCCAAACAUUCAUCUUCCGAUUCAUUAGAUAAAGCAAUUUCCCAUUCUAAUCCAAUGAAGUCUUCAUCGCCCACAUCUUCACCCAAAUCUUCACCCAAAAUUUCAGGACAUCUCCCUCUUUGUUCAUCUCUAUCAAUAUGACUUAUCUCCCUCUCAUUUUGCCCUUCAUCUAACCUAAACUUAUCCCCGACUUGAUUACUCGUUUGAACAAGAUCCCUCACUUCUCCUCCUUCAGUGGUCGUCUGCUCAUCCACAUCCUCAUCCUCAUCCUCACUAUAAUACUCAACAUAUACCUUAACUUCUUCAUUGUGAAGAUAAUGGUAAAUGAUAUCCUUAAUACCAUUAUCGUUGUUAAAAAAUCUUAACCCAUCCUUCAAUUCCUUCCCAGGAACACAGUAAUGUAGUUUUUGCACUUUGCAUCGUAAAAAAUACACCAAAUCUCUCAGAAAAUCAAUAUAUGAUGGCUUCCAAACAUUGACAUAAAUAGUACCUUAAUUUCCACUAUUUUAUUAUCAAUCUUCAGUGCCAAUAACAAACUCUCCACCAUAGUAAACAAUGACGCUUACCUGAUUCGUGUCCAUGUCGAUGCUGCACCCAAUGAAAAAAAAAAGAGUCAUUGUCGUUUUGUUGGAACCACAUGACAGAAUCGACAACUUCACAUGUAGGUCCUUAUCGUUUUGUUGUCAAGGAACAAAUGCGACUAAAAUCUCCCCAAUUCGGUGGAUUUACAGAAAUAAAAGAAACCGAAUUAAAUAAACAAAGUGAGGUCCCCACCACUCAUUUUUCAAUUCAAUCACAUUCACAUUCGGUCCCCCACAAAAGCAGUCCAAUUAAUUAAAUAAAAAAAUUCGGUCCACCACUGUUUCCCUCCGAGUCAAGCCUCUCCGCACCAUUUUUUCUGUUCGGUCCUCACAAUAGAAAACGAACAAACGAUGGAAGAAUCAAUUUUUCUAUUCCGUCCCCAUAAAAGUGACAUCCCCACCACUUUCCCCACUACUUUCCGCUUGAGCCAAGCCCUCAAUUUGCCCUCCGUGCCCUAAUUUGCCCGUCGGAACCCUAAUUUUUUCGCAAAAUUGAUCCACGUAGAGAACAUGACAAACUUGAACGAUCGUGAACAAUGGCGCAACUACAACGGUGGCCAAGCGAUAGUGGGCGAGCGACAGCAGGCGAGCGAACGACGGUGGGUGAACGACAGUGGGUGAGCGAGCUCCGGCCAGCGUCGAGGAGAAUAAUAUACGAACCCUAUUUUACUCCCUCUUCAGCAACAUCGUUUUUUGCUAUGGAGCAACGCGGCGUCGUUUCUUAUGUGAAUCCACGGUGGAUGGCAAGAAACAACGUUGUUUCUUACAAAGAAAGGAAAACGGCGUCGUUUUAUGCUAUCCACCGUGGACAAUCUUAAGCCACAUCGUUUUUUUUUUAAAUAUAAAAGCCACGUAUUUAUUUUGGCCGAAAUUUCUCGCCAGUGGCACCAAAGUGAUCGUUUUUUCUCCGAUUUGGCACUUAAGUGAUUUGACGGAAACUUUUGACACCAAAGUGAGCGCCGUACACAACUUAUGGCACCAUUAGUGUACUUUUCCCCAAGGUUAAGGCUUGCCACACUGAAUGUAACUUCGCUUUGGGACCCAACCAACGCUAGAACGCCACCCGUCUUCAAAAGAGACAUGUAAGGAUCAAAUAGGUGAUCAGCAGAUGCCGUGUCGAUUAUAAAGUCCAGGGACUUAGCCAUGGCCUGCAUGUAUUGGAAUCAUCAGAUCACGGUAGCACUUGACCUUAAUGGAUCUAAAGUAUUGAUAAUUUUAAAUCUUCCCGCCUGCCUUCGUCUAUUCUUGGUCAGAUGAGAUAACGAAGUGGUCAGCACCAAGCAAGCUCAGUGCUUCCUCCUUUUUAGAAAUGCUUGUACUAAACAUAGCGAAUUUCAGUCCAUAAGCCUUCCCAAGCUUAAUUGCCAUGUGACUGAGCCCACCGAGUCCAAUUACACCAAGAGACUUACCCGGUUGGUUCAUCUUGUGACGCACCAUUUGAGUGUAUAUUGUGAUUCCAGCACAAGGCAAUGGUGCUGCUAAAGCCAACGGGAAGUUUUCUGGAAUCCUGAAGCAGUACCUGUUAAUGAAGCACCACAAUUAAGUUUCCAAAUCACACCAAAGGAGGAAGGGAUUUCCCAAUAGAAUCAGCAUCCCAUCUUUUUUGUACAACGGGAUUCAAAUCACAUUUUACUUGCUUAGAGCACAAUUCAACAUCAUGUGGUUUCUGUGAUUCUUUUUCUGACCACAAAUUGCUUAAGACGAAAACUUCUUGCUGUAGCGACGAAAGUAAAGCCACUGCAGCAUACAGGAGGCCAUACUUGAUCAAAAUUGAGAAAAGAGGCUUGCUCUAACAGAGUACACUGGAAGCAUAUUGCAUAUGCAUGGCAGAUCAUGUAAUUUCUCUAUUCCCCUCAAUCAUGUCUCUAAGGGACACGAUAUUCCCGUGACUGUCGAAUACAAGAAUCCGUGAAAGCACGUACAUUUUAUUACCCAUUUGAUCUAACACUUACCAUCUAACUCUUGGAAACAAUCUAAAAAAAGGGAGGAAGAGGAGAUAGAAGGCAAGAAUUGAGCAAUUUCCAUCUGUUUCUCUCUUUUAAUUAAGAGUUAAUAUCCUAAAAAACUCCAAAUUGGUACACAUGUGACAAAUUUACCCCGAUGGACUAUUAAAAACCCUAAAAUUAUAUAUUUAUGACAAAUUUACCCCAAACUAAUUUAUUCGACCACAAAAAAAAUGGUAAAUUUGUGACAAAUAUAUCCUCCACUAAAUUGAAUUAAUACCAUAGUAAACCGUGACAAACGGAGCGUAAAAUCUCAAAUUGAUAUACUAGUCAACUGUCACAUGUCAUUUAACUUAAUAAUUUGACAGUAAAAUUUAAUGAAAACUAAUAGAAGGUAAAUUUGUCACAAGUGUACCAGUUUAGAGUAAAUUUGUCAAAUAUAUAACAAUUUAGAGUUUUUUGUGGUAAAAAAAAAUAGUUUGGAGUAAAUUUGUCACAGGUAUAUCAGUUUGGGGUUUUUUAGGGUAUUAACCCUAUAAUUAAUUUAGUUUUAAAUUUAAUCUUAUUAAUUUUUCAUGAAAAAUUCAUAUGUUAAAUUUAUUGGCUCACAUGUCAUUGUCACUUGAUGUGUAUGAUAUAUAGAAUAGUCCAAGAAAUUUGACUUUAGAUACAUGGGAACCCGCGAAUGGUCAUACAUUGUCGAUUACACAUUCAACAUGAUGUAUUAGCUAAUCAUAGUCCUCUAACGGUUUAUAUUUGCUUAAUAUAUUUCAAGAAUAUUAAUUUGUUAGACUUGUCCGCUCACACGCCGCUGUCACUCGAUGUGUAUGAUAAGCAGAAUAGUCGAAGAGCUUUGACUUUAGAUACUUGGGAGUGUCUAUGCUUGUUUUAUGUCUAUUAUGCUUGCAAUGCUUCUUGUUUUGAGUGGACAGUACAAAUAUUUAAGUCCGUGUCAAUUUGAACAAUUUUCUUUAUUAUAGAGCAACAGUCUUUAAUCUAUUGUGUUCUUGACCACAAAAAACCAAAUAACAAAUAAGUAUAAAUUAUUGUAGGGUCCAACGACAAUCUUUAAUCUAUUGUGUUCUUGACCACAAAAAAUCAAAUAAUAAAUAAGUAUACAUUAUUAUAGGACCCACUCCUUUAAAAAUUUGUUGUUCACAAAAACUUAUUUAUUCUCAUAAUAACCCAAAGUUAUGCUAGCAAAAAUGCAAUUUAAUCCUAAAAUUUGUCACGAAAUGCAAUUGAGUCCUAAAAUUUUCAAAAAGUACAAUUAAUUAUAAAGAUUUAUCAAAAUUGGUCCAAUUUAAGUCAUUCCAUUCAUUGCAAUUUUUGAAAGUUUUAGAGCUCAAUUAUGCUUUCCUAACAAGUUUUAUGACUUAAUUAUAAUUUUUGAAAAUUUUAGAACUUAAUUGUAAUUUAUGAUAAGUUUUAGGAUUUCUAGUACACUUAUCUUUUUUUUUUGUUUUUCACCUCAUUAAUCUUUUUUGCAACAAUGAGCUUGACAUAUCUCUGUUUUGAGGAUUUCAGUGGCUAGGGGAAACACAGGGAUGUCCUCUAAUGAAUCAACAAUCUUCCUGCCAUGACAAUGCCGGAAGAGAGAUGAGUGUCUUACAUAGUUAACAAAAAUGUUCAUGUUAUAAUUGGUAAGCAUUCGCUUUCCCAACGUGCAUGAACAUUUCCGGCGAUGAAACAUUCGUGAGGAGCCAGUAAAGACAUCCUGUUAUUUAAACCGGCAAGAGGAUAUCGAGCUUGCUCUAUUGGCAAGUAUAUUGUUGUCAGAUAAGCCUAAUAAAUCCGAUAUUUUCAUACAAAAAAUCGUCAUCGAGGCCAACUUAAUCCAAAAUGCCAAUGGACAGGCUUGGGUAAGCUAGUGGAUAGGUAUGCCGCUUUAUCUUAUGUCGUGUUAUCUCACGAGAGAUGGUGCUGCGUUCUCUUUAGAAUGCACAUGACUUGGGAUAGGAAAACCUUAGGAUCCGACUAGGAGGAAGGAAAAAAGCAAUCUAUUGUCGGGCCAAUAUAAGAUCAUUUCAUGUCAAACUCCGCAGUCUUGAGGCCAUGGAAUCUACGACAUACUUGCUCAUUCACAAGGACUGAGCAAAUAAAUGAUAAAAUAAGAGCAAUGGUCGUCAUUGAUCGUCUGCCCUUUAACUGAUUGGAUUCUAAAUAUUUUAUUUUCAAUUGGGGUCUAAAUAUUUUAUUUGAUUCAAUUGACUUCUAAAGAUUUCCAAUUUUAGUCAAUCAAGUCCCUCAAAUAUUAUCCUCGGAAAGAGCCACAUGGCUGUGAUUUUCCUAGUGGCUAAGGAGAUGCUUGAGGAGAAAACCUGUAGGAGAGGCGAAGCCAUCCAAGCAGAACUCUCAAGAAGUCAAUUUUUCAGACAGUUUCUCAAUCAUCACAUAGAGAAGUACCAGGAUUUCAUUACCCAUUUCACUUGUUUCUGCUAUAAAACUCACGAGUAUCGAAGUAUAUCAGGCAUAGUUUAUUUGUACUCCAGCAGAGCAAUUAAGAAGGCAUAGAUGAUGCUCUCCUCUAGCUGAAAGCCCGAAACUCCCACUUUUCCUCUGUGUGAUCAGCCUUGCCAGCAACAAUUUCCAACUACCCAAAUUGAUGUUGAAAUUUAAUCAAAUAGACUCAGAGAAGAAAACAAACAAGAGAAUUGUUGCUGUAACUUUCGUUACUUUAUUCAUCAGAACAUAAGCCUAUUAAAUAGGCAGAACAUCCAAACCACUUAGCAAGACAAUAGCUAUAGAACAACAACAAAGACCCACUAACAUACCCCACUAACCAGAACAUAUGCAGAAACUAACUCCUAAAAACAAGCCACAUCCUAUUGACUAGGACUCCACUAUUACAUUAUUGAAGACACGUAAAAACUGAAAGUUAACUACUUCAACAAUUGAUGGUGUCACUUCAAGGAGUUCUCAAUGUCAAUCACGAAUCGAUACUUAACAUCUCUCUUGAUGAGCCUCUCCAGAGCUUCGUUGGCGUAAUCGAUCGGUAUCACUUCAAUGUUUGGGUAUAUCUUCUGCACCGCACACAAGUCUAUCAUUUCUUGGGUAUUCUUUGUUCCUCCCGUUACGCUACCCGUAACAGUUCUCAUAUCUGCCAAAAGUUCACCGCGAGCAACUUAAUUCACCUAUCAGGUAUGAAAUUUCAUUUAGUAAUCAGAUUUGAGAACAAAAACAUACUGAGGUUAAGGCUGGCUGGACUGAAUUUAACUUCGCUCGGGACGCCGACCAAUGCUAGAAUGCCACCCGUCUUCAAAAGAGACAUGUAAGGAUCAAAUGGGUGAUCACCGGCUGCCGUGUCGAUUAUAAAGUCCAGGGACUUAGCAAUGGCCUGCGUGCAUUGGAUUUAUCAGAUCACAACAGAAUUUGACCACCAUGGAUCUCAAUGUGGAUAAUUCUAGUUUUUCCUCUUUUUACCUUCAUCUGCUCCAGGUCAGAUGAGAUAAUGAAAUGGUCAGCCCCAAGCAGGCUCAGUGCUUCCUCCUUUUUAGAAAUGCUUGUACUUAACACUGUGACUUUCAGUCCAAAAGCCUUCCCAAACUUAACUGCCAUAUGACCGAGCCCACCAAGUCCAAUUACACCUAGAGACUUACCAGGUUGGUUCAUCUUGUGACGUAUCAUUGGAGUGUACACCGUGAUUCCAGCACAGAGCAAUGGCGCUGCUAGAUCCAUCGGGUAGUUUUCUGGAAUCCUGAAGCAAUACCUGUCAAUGAAGCACCACAAUUAAGUUUCCAAAUAACACCAAGACAGGAAGUGAUUUCCCAAUAGAAUCAGCAUCCUGUCUUUGUUGUCUAAAAGGAAUCAAAUCACAGAGCCAGAAAUCCUAUCUUCCACAUGCUUGGGAAUUUUACUUGCUUAGACCACAAUUCAGCAUCAUGUUGUUUCUGUGAUCCUUGUUCUGACCACAAAUUGCUCUAGACAAACAUUUCUUGCUGUAGCAACGUAAAUAAAGCAAUUGCAGCAUACUGGAGACCACACUCGAUUAAAAUUAAGAAAAGACACUUGCUCUAAGAAAGGAAACUAGUGGCAUAUCAUGUAUGCUUGACUGAACACGUAAUUUUGUAUUUCCUUCAAUCAAUUUCUCCAAAGGACUCAAGAUUCCUGCGGCUCUAUCAGAAACAAGAAUUAGUGAAAGCGCAUACAUUUAGCUACUCAUUUGAUCUGAUACUUAUGAUCUAACUCUAACAAUCUAAGGACAGCUUAUUCCAUUCUUGACAAUGGUUAUUCAAAAGAAAGAAUUUCUUUUCGCAUUUAAUAAAGCCAGUUCUCCAUUGAAUGGUUUGAAUGGUAAUUGGAUACAGAGGACUUAAAGACUCUCCAGAGUCGUUAUAGAAAGUAUCUUUAUCCCUUUCCACAAGAUGCAAUUAAUGCCUAAAAGCCAUUCCUCACAGUCCUAUGCAUUAUGCCACUUCUGGUCACAAUCAGAAUAAGAAGAAAAUUAGCAGAGAAGAAGACAUGACAUGAAAUCUUUUUUUGGCCACCAUGAUUUGGAAUUCUGUCACAGUGCAAAAUGCUGCCUAAUAACACUGUGUCAGUAAGCAAUUACCUUUCAUGGACGACAAUGUGACUAGAAUAUCCUCCCUUUGUCACUGUACCAUCUGCAUCAAUUCCAUCAAAAGUCAUAACCGACUUUUCACAUUGGACUUCUAGCCUGUCAUUGCAAUACUCGCACUCUCUGCAUGAAUUGACAUAAGUUCCCACCCCCACAUGAUCGCCAACUUUGAAGCGUUGGACACUGGAGCCAACCUGUUUCACAAUUCCAACUAUCUCGUGCCUGAAUCAAUCAAAAAAAAUUUUCGCAAAUUUUGUUCAGAGAAUUAUGAGGAUGGUGCUAAGAAAAAAGAUUUAACAUUUGAAUCCCGCUGCAUCCUACCCCGGCACCAGAGGAUACUUGGAGUGUCCCUGCACAUUCCUAGUCCAAGCCACAUCUGCGUAGCACACUCCACAGUGCGUGAUCUUAAUCGAGACGUCUUCGCUUCCCACGGCCCUAAAGAGAUGAUUCCCAAACAGGUGAGCAUAUAAUCCAGUGACUAAUCAGACUAGGGUGCCCUUUUUUUCCAUUUUCAAGAUCAACAAACUAAACUUGACCUACGAUUAUUGAGGAAACAAGAAACCAGAAAUGAGAAAAGGAAAAAUUCCAUGACUACAAGCAUAUUUGUCCAUACGGUAGAUACAACCUCAAAUGCUCAGAAAGGCAGCCAGUACAGGAUCCUCAUGUCUGCAGCCAGUACAGGAUCCUCAUGUCUGCCAUGAAAUUCUGAGUAACCCAUAACCAACAAUUCUCGACUCAGAAUUCAGCGCAUACACAACAAAAGAAAGAACGAAAAAAAAUGAAAUGGUCUGGACCGAAACUGUCUCUCGUGAACACUGUACUGAGACUCUCGCAUGAACACUUCGGUAGAAAUCGAAAAAGAAAAAAAAAAAAAAUGGCAAUACCUGCGGGUGAAUUUGUAGGGGGAGAGGAACCCAGAAGGGUCCCGGGCAGCCCAACCGAGGCAAUCCUCCUUCCCACCCUCCGAGCUCAUCUUCUGCACCUACACACCCGGCGAAGCAAUCACACAAACAGGUACGGUUAGAUUCAUCCAAAGAAGAAGAAGAAAGGGUGAGAACGCGAACGAGAGAGUGCCCAAGAUCAGAGACUCGACGGGUCAUCACACGGCGACGACUCGAGUCACAACGAGCUCGCCAUCACUCAUCAACUCACUCACUCACCCACCCCCACCUACCCAAGCACAACCCCACAGCAACUCAGAGAGAGAGAGAGAUGACUACGGAGAUGGAGAGAGGUUACGCGGUGGUGGAGUAUGCGGUAGCGCGAAGAGGGUGAUGAGCCGAGCAGAGUCGAGGACGGGAGGUUCAACGAAGACUUUUGCCCCCUCCUACUUUGCAGGAAAGCUACGAGUCGUCGUAUGGAUUUUAUGGCGGUGGCCCCUAGGCUCUAAAAGAAGGUUCGAGGAGCCUACUGCCUAGCCUUCUUUUGCUGUUGGUUUCAAUAUCUGCUGCUUUUCCGCCUUAGCCCAACCGACAUCGCCCUCAAAAGACAUCAAAGAUAAGGUAGUUGGAAGGAAACAUCAUCCGAAACUUAAAGAUGGGGUAGUUGGAAGGAAACAGUAUACGAAACUUUGGUUCAAUAGGUAACGUGAUUUUCUAAAUUUUUAAUUUACCCAAUAUGAUUUUUUAAAAUUUUGGUAUAGAUUCAACUUAGUCUUUAGAGUAUAUAUUGUCGCAAAUUUUAAAUUAAUAAAAUGACGACGUUGAAUAUUUUCAUAUGAUCAAAUGACAACAUUAAAUAUGUACUAAAAUUUUGAAUAAUAUUGAAUAUUUUCAUAUAAUUUUGAGAUUAUAUAGAAUAUGUAUCAAAGAUCAUUAACUAUAUAGUUCCGUUCAAUUUGCGGAAAAUAAUUUCCGAAAAACCGUUUUUCAGAUUUUUCGACAUUCAUUUCAUGAAAAAUGAAUUCAUUGGGAAAAAUGUUUCUUCUAAAUUAAGGGAAAAUGUUUUCCACUUUUAAAAAGUGAAAAACAUUUUCUUCACUCGAUCUCUCUUAUCUUACACCUCUAAAAAUCUCUACUUUAUCCUCACAUUUCUUUUUCUUCUUUUCUUUUUUUAAUUCAAAUUAUUUUUAAUUUCCUUUUUAUUUUAUUUUUAAUUUUUCUUUAUUUUUCUUUUUCUUUUCUUUGUUUCCCAUCUUUUCUUUCUUGGCUAGUUGUCAGUCAUUACCAAGCGAAUCUCGAGUUCGUCAAUCUUAAGCUCACACUCUGUACUCUUACUUAUCAUUUUCUUUAUUUACUCUAUCCUGCAGUUGUAUAUUGCUCAAACAAAUGGCUCUACAUGCUUUGCUUCUUUUUUCUUUUGUUUAUUAGAACACAAAAGACGCAUGAGAGAACAGGCCACUCAACUGGAAGAUUCUCAUUAGGGCUGUACAUGCUUUGCUUCUUUUCUCUUUUACUUCUUUUUAAAAUCCAUACAGACAUUUUUUAGAGUAGAUGAGCGUUUGACAACAAUGAGGGAACAAAGAUAUGCUCGAAUUUAAAUGCAAGUUCAUAUUUGAUGGGUUUAUAGGUCGGUAAGUGAUGCAUGCCUAAGUGGUGAAGUCUUAGAAAAUAUUUUCCUUACCAAACACCGAAAAAUAAUUUUCGAAACAUUUUCAAGUUUUAGCUUAACACUAGAAAAUAUUGUAAUUUUCCUAGAAAAUGAUUUUUGGAAAAAUAUUUUCCGGAAAUGACCAAUUUUUCACGAAACGAACGGACCCUUAGUCUCGGGAGUUUCUAUGUUACAUAUGAUCUAGUCCUUCAACUUUUCUAUUUGUAUACACUCAAAUCUUUUGUCAUAUUCAGUUUUUAUGCAGUUAAGUUUUAUUUUGUUCAUUCAAAUCAUUCAAUGUUCUCGACUAGUGCAAUUGAGUGCUUCACUCACCCAUCAUAACACACAAUUCCAUUUUUCUUUUUCCAAGUUUGCUUUUCGCUCAUUUGGCACCACCUCAACAUUGUGCGAUAUUUUCUACCUCAAUGAUAAUACUAUGUUAUUGAUUACUAUGACACAUUCAGCAAGAGGAUUUACUGAACGAUUUAAUUGCACGAAUCAAGAAAGUUAGAAGACUUGAUUGAACAAAAUAUAAAGUUAAGAGGAUCAAAUUGUGCCGAUAUGGAAAUUUGGAUGACUAAAAUUGCAUCAAACCCUUUUAUAGGGAGAUGGGUCAGCCACAAUAACAUAUUCUUUUUCAGUGACUGGCUUUGACACAACCAAUGCAACAUUAGUACGAAAAUGAAAGAUGAGUGGACAAAAGAAGGGCAACAGAUGUUAAACGAAACCUGUUUCCCAAAAGCACCAUGCAGAAACUUCCUUUCAUUGGAAAAUUUUUCUUGAAACGGAACUAAAGAUUACUGGCUUCGACAUAACCGAUGAACAUACCAAGAGCUGAGGCCUUAUCCAACAACAACGUGAAAAUGAAAAAUGAGUUGAAAAGAAUGGACAGCAGCUGUCAAAUUAAACAUUUUUUCCAUGUCUCGUUCAGAACUUGUCACUCCUUCAUUACAAUCUUGACCCUUUUGAAAUUGGAAGUGAAGGUUACUGGCUUCGACAUGACCAAUGUAUAACUUGUCGCUCAUGCAAUAUGGUAUAUAGAAAUGAAAGAUGAGUAGAAAAAGAAAUGGACGAUUGCUGUCAAAUUAAAACCUUUCCCAAGUCAACUUGUCGCUCCCCUUCCUUCCAUUAAAAUGCUUUUAUGGUGGAACUGAAGAUUACUGGCUUUGACACAACCAAUGUAAACCCUCCAAGAGGUGAGAGAACUUAUGCAAAAGUAUAAAAAUGAAAGACGAGUCAAAAAGAUGAGGACAAUAACCAAAUGCGUGCAACUCAAUUGCACUUUUUGAUAAGGAUAAACUGCACCUCUCCUCAUCAUUGAAAGAGAUAGGAUUAAACGCAGACGUGAUUGACAUAGAGAUUCUUACUAGAAAUUAAAUAAAAAUAAGUCUUUCUUGGUAACAGGAUGUUUGUUCUCGUGACCGUGUAGGUCUUUCUAGGUUCUCUGACGCGUGCCAUGAGGUCAUGGCAUGUUAUGCAACCAGAGAUAUCCAUUCCAUAUUUCUAUGGUAUCUAUCCAUCGUUACCUCCCGUGAACCUAAGAAGAACAAAACCAAUCCAUAAAGCUGGAGGAUCAAGAACAACCCGCCCUAAGUUAUUGAUGAACUGAGUUAACUGUUUGAAGCCUAAGUAGCGAAUCAUUUAAAGUUUAAGCUACUAAAAUGUCAGAUGCCAAACAGAAGGAAAAUCUACAGAGCCAACAUCUGCAUCGGAUCAACGAUGGCAUAUCAACAACUAAGGGAAAAAUCUGCUACUAAAUAUUUAUCUGAAACUAUAAGCGAGGAUCACGUUGCACUUGCAUAAGUCUGUUAACGCAGGUCAAUGGUCAUGUUCUGGCCAGCUAUGUAAGAAGUUUGAAAACUCUACACGGACAGGCACCAUUUGCAAGAAGACCUGUUCCCUCAAAUGCUCAUCUUUGUACUGAGCUGGAAAUGCUUUUAGCAGAUGACUGUGCCUCCAGAAACAAAUCGCAUGAAGUGGCCCACAAUUCUCUGGCAAGUCCAGUGUCGUACGAAACUAAAGAAGAGUUGAUAGUCCGGCCCUUCCCACCAAAGAAUACACACCAGAAAUUUCCUAUAUUUGCAAGACAGCGGCUAUUAGUAAGCACUGUUCCAACAUAUAAUAGCAGCCGCAUAAGAUUGAUACCACAGAUUAUCAGCAGAGAAGGGAAAAUCAAUUCUGGAAACACUCUGUCAUACCGUAGAAUCAACAUUAAUGGAUUUUACGUCCAAUGCUAGUACGACCUCAAUUGAGGAUAAAACGAGAGAGACUCAUUCAAGAUGGUUCAGAUAAGUGAAGCACCAGUACAGGAAUGCUUUACACCAGCCCCAUUUAGUGGGAAAAAAUCACUAUCACCCAUAUCUGCAGCUGUGGUUGCCUAUUGAGAUGAAACACAAGUGAUUUCAUUGCAGUCCCAUCUAGCAGUCCCAUCUAGCAUAUAGCAGAAAUUAAAGAUAACGAUUGCAGUCAGAAAAACACAUAAGAGAAUUGUUGCUGUAACUCUCGUUACUUUAUUCAUCAGAACAUAAGCCUAUUAAAUAGGCAGAACAUCCAAACCACUUAGCAAGAAAAUAGCUAUAGAACAACAACAACAAAGACCCACUAACACACCCCACUGACCAGAACAUGUGGAGAAACUAACUCCUAAAAACAAGCCAUUUCCUAUUGACUAGGACUCCACUAUUACAUUAUUGAAGACAUGUAAAAACUGAAAGUUAACUACUUCAACAAUUGAUGGUGUCACUUCAAGGAGUUCUCAAUGUCGAUCACGAAUCGAUACUUAACAUCUCUCUUGAUGAGCCUCUCUAGAGCUUCGUUGGCAUAAUCGAUCGGUAUCACUUCGAUAUUUGGGUAUAUCUUCUGCGCUGCACAUAGGUCUAUCAUUUCUUGGGUAUCCUUUGUUCCUCCCGUUAGGCUACCUGAAACAGUUCUCAUAUCUGCCAAAAGUUCACCACGAGCAACUUAGUUCACCUAUCAGGUAUAAAAUUUCAUUUAGUAAUCAGAUUUAAAACAAAAACAUACUGAGGUUAAGGCUGGCUGGACUGAAUUUAACUUCGCUUGAGCCGACCAAUGCUAGAAUGCCACCCGUCUUCAAAACAGACAUGUAAGGAUCAAACGGGUGAUUGCCGGAUGCCGUGUCAAUUAUAAAGUCCAGGGACUUAGCAAUGGCCUGCGUGCAUUGGAUUUAUCAGAUCACAACAGAAUUUGACCACCAUGGAUCUCAAUGUGGAUAAUUCUAGUUUUUCCUCUUUUUACCUUCAUCUGCUCUACGUCAGAUGAGAUAACGAAAUGGUCAGCCCCAAGCAGGCUCAGUGCUUCCUCCUUUUUAGAAAUGCUUGUACUAAACACUGUGACUUUCAGUCCAAAAGCCUUCCCAAACUUAACUGCCAUAUGACCGAGCCCGCCAAGUCCAAUUACACCUAGAGACUUACCAGGUUGGUUCAUCUUGUGACGUAUCAUUGGAGUGUACACCGUGAGUCCAGCACAGAGCAAUGGCGCUGCUAGAUCCAUCGGGUAGUUUUCUGGAAUCCUGAAGCAAUAC
rnacentral:lncRNA from 1 species